CAGCACAGCGUGGAACAUCGUGAAGUGGGUUGAACUGAAACUUGUUGACUUAUUGUGUAUUUCACAAACUGGUUUAUUUACCGUUGAGGCGGACCACUCUCCUCUGUGCGUCCCUGAGCUGUCUGCUUCAGAUCCGUCACUCUGCUGUGCUGUGAGGUAGUUCGUGGAUGAAGAUUGUCAUGAGGUCGCUGCGCCAUCUACAGGAUAAGUUGGGGGACUUUUCAAAUGGUGACACAUUUUCGAAGUGAAACCGAAUCUUACUCUUCGCAUUUUAUUUUUUGAAAAAAUCGGCGAAAAUCAGUGAGUUUUGGCCAAUUACCAAUUUGUCUCAAACGGGCUAAAAUUGGCCGAUUUAGGCCCCAACUACACGAAUGCGGAAAUAUUUCAAACCGCGCAUAUUUUGGAGUUUGGAACACUCAAACCGGAUAAAUCUGAAUCCAAAAAAGAAACAGUGGAGAAAUUUAAAAAAUAUCCGUAUAAGUGGAUUCGUGUGGUUGAACUUUUACGGAUCGAUGACGUCAAACCGCAGCUCGCGCAUGCGAAUUAAAAAGAAAAACAACAACAACAAUGGCGGACAUACAGGGUAUUCAUUGCGUUUGUUUUGCUCUUUUGGGGCUAAUUUCUGCCUUGCAAGUGAACCUUGUUUUAUACAAUUACAUCCACCAGUCAGCCAGCUCACAGAGGCGUCUGUGUAGCUUCCGCAAACAAUGCAUGACGCAUCACGCUGUUACAAUUCAUCGGCCAAUCAGUUAGCUUUGUUCCUGAAUUUUUUUAAGCGGCACCAGAUAGGAUUGAGUUUGAAGGCUACAUGUGCAUGCAGAUAUUUUUGAGAACUAACACGUGUGGACAGAUACAUUUAUUUAGACGGGAGUACAAAAAUAUCCUGAUAAAUAAAUAUCUAUAUACGUGUAUUCUGGGCCUUAAUCGGCUCGCUGAUAAAUCGGUCGGGCCCUAGUUUUUACCAAAGUUAAACCUUGGGGUGCCACAGCCUGUAGUUACUGAAGUAACAUACAACUCGCAAAAGUAUUGCCAGAAGUUACCGUAGUGUGUUAAUAAACACAUUUCAUUGUAUAAAAACCUUACAAUCAUUUCCUGACACAUCCAUUCACUCAGGUCUCCAACCUCCAAGUCACACUUUGAAGCUCUGGUUGAGAGGAUGUGAAAGUGCUGCAAUGCAUCAUUCAAAAACAGCGAUUCACUGAGUAUUUCAGUCAAGGUUCAUAUAUAAGCAGAAGUCAUCCUUUAUGCAGGAGUGUUACGCAUGAAAACUUGGAAGAAAAAACUAUAAAUAGAGAAGGACUCCAUAAGAACUCCUUCAGAUCAUCUAUUGAAUGAAACCAUCUGCUGCCGUAACAGUUCACGCCAAACAAAAGAACAAGACUGGAGUUUUUAGUGAUUAAUUGAUAGAGUUUUGUUGCCCAAAGAAACAUGAGAAAGAAGCUCCAAAACAUUACUUAGACAGCUUGUUCUGGCUAAUAUAGUGUGUUUGUGUAUACAUGUAAAAUUAUCUAGAGGGAUAUUCUUUCAUCCUUCUUCCAGUUGUCCUACUUGGAAAACAACAAAAGACUGGCAGUAGCACCUUAUGAAACACAGUCUUGGAUAAGGCGUCUCAUAUACAGGCUUAUAUUGAAGGUAUUAGGUAAUCUCAUGUUGCUCCGAGUGGUGAAAACAUGAUCAAAGGUUUUCUAUUUUGCUACAGUAUCCAUGGCAACAGAGCAAAAUCCUCCAGACGGCGAAGUGGAUGAUCAGAAGUUGUUAAUGCCGCUAAGGUCUAUUACAAUUACGUGAAUGACAGCAUCUUAUUAUCAUAUUCACUCGUGCUGAAGUUUUGUUUAUCACUGAACGCGGCGUCAUGUACCAGGCAGAAAUUAUCCCAGAGUGACAAUAAAAUGAGUCUUAAGCUGCACUGUUGUCGUGUUGCUCAGACUGUAAUUACAAGCAGCCGAGCGUUUAAAAAAACUGUCAACAUCCUCGAUGUAAUUCUGAAUCGCAAAUAGGAGAAAUUUCAAACCCUUGUUAUAUCUAAAAAGCUGUGAAAUGUUGGAGGACAGAGAACUCCUGCUGUGCCAGAUUUGAUCUGUUUAAAGCUACACUCAGUAUUUUUACAAAACAGGGUCAAGUACCUGAGGAUGAGAACUGAGAUGUUUAUAACCAACACUUCAGCUUCCUUUAGCUCUAUUUUAAGCUCACUAGGAGGUGUGCUUUUAUUUUUAUUUUUUUUCCGCUAUUUAUAUAAUUGUGUUAACUCAACUUUCUAUUGUUAUCAUAGUUUUUUUUGUGUAUGUUUGUGUUCUUCAUUUCUUUUCCUUUUAUUUUGAUUAAACUUUAGUUCAGGUGUUCUCAACUGGUCUCACUCUGGGACCCACAUUGUCCCCUGGUCCUUAAGUCGCAACCCACUUACAUAAGAUUCAAACCAAGCAAAUUUAUUUUUUUAUACAAAAAAAAACUCUUUAAAAACUCAAAUCUUAAACAUAAAUACACCCAUUAUAUUGAGUAAUGUGCAUUUCAGAGCACAUAAACUGAGGACGACGACUACUGAAGUUGCAUAUACAGAAAAUAUCAAACCAGCAAAAUGAAAAAUUAGACUUUUAUGCAUCUCUGCAUUCAGUGCAUAAAGAACCUGAGGAGGACAAAAGUGAAUAAAUAUCAAAUAUCCAAAAAAAAAAACGCAUUUCUACUGCAUCCAGCUCACAUUAAUAAGAAACCGAGGAGGACCACGACAUAGCACUUACCUUUCAAAAUAAUCUAUUUUUCAAAAUAAAAGACAUAUCAAACAUCAGAUGCGCAUUAAAUAUUUACUUUUUUGACCAGCUGUUCACGACCCCUCCAGAACGUGUCCGCAACCCACCAGUUAAGAACCACUGCUUUAGGUUGUACUAUCAUAUAGUCAUAACUAUGACGACUCUAAUUUUCAUUAUUAUUGUAUUUAUUUAUAUUGUUUGAAUCUUUUUCAGCACUUCUGUUUCUGUAAAAUUUAAGCGAAAACUUUUAACCUUAUUUGCACCCUUUAAUUUGAAUAAAAAAUAUCAUUAUAAAAAAAGAGAUGAGGAGAUAUUGUCUAUAGUUCUUAAAGGAAAGCUAAAAUUCUAUGCAAUAUUUACAAACAAAAUGGAUUAAAGUUGUACUAGAGUUUGUUGCGCUGCCCCUAGUGGCUAAAAGAGUAGGUUCACAUUAUGGUCACAUCCUGUAAUACAAGUUGAAGCUAUAGUUAUGACAAAACAAGUAGUCAUAACUAUGACAACUAAUUUUCAUUAUUAUUAUAUUUAUUUAUUUAUUUAUAUUGUUUGUAUCUUUUUCAGCACUUUAAGCGAAAUUUGAGCGAAAACUUUAUACAUUAUUUUGACUCUUUAAUUUGAAUAAAAAUAUCAUUGUAAGAAGAAAAAGAGGAGAGGAAACGUUAAUAGUUUUUAAAGUAAGAUUCUAUGCAGUAUUUACAAAGAAAAUGUUAAAUUAAAGUUGUACAAGAGUUUGUUGCGCUGCCCCUAGUGGCUAAAAGAGUAGGUUAAAAUUACAAUAACACACUGUAAAACAAGUGGAAGAAAUAUAUCCUCCAAUUAAUGUUUAUCUGGCUAAAAACUGCGGUUAGUUCAACGCUAGCCAUUUUGAGAUACUGUUUAAAUGCUUCACAGAGUUAAAACUGCCACUAGCUAUAAUCUCCUCUGCUCCUCUGAACUGAAGAACCUUUGCCUUGUGUCGAUAUGUCUCCUCCUGUGAAUAAGGGGCUCUUGUUAUCCUUUACCUGAAUUUGUAAGUGGUGUUUUUAACAAAAAAAAAAAAAACCUUCAUCCUUGUUCCUUUUUAAAAAGUCAAAUAUCGCUCUUUGGGAGAUGUAAAACCAGGCUGUUUAUGCAGUCAGCUGUUAAUCCCUUGUCUGACACAUACCUCCUGGCACGGGCAACAGGCGUGUCAAAAAACUUUUUUUUUUUUUAAGCUCUUGUUGCCUUUGCAGUUAAUAUUAAAUUCAGCCUCAUUAAUUACAAGUAAGCAUCUCCUCCCAGGAGCUUGAGGCUUUAGGGCUGUUGUUGUAUAUCCAAAAUUAAUGCAGAAGCUCUUAUUGAUGCGUGUUUGUUGUCGGUCAGCGUCUAAAAAGACUGUUUUUGAUGUCUCUGAGCCUCCACCUGCAAAGGUGCUUGCCUCCCUCUGCUCGGGGCCAAUUGGUUGUCAAAUAUUAGCUCUGGUUGAAGUAAGCCACUCGAAUCUCAGACACUCGAUGUGGCCUUGGGAACGAGAGCAUGCUGUUUUUCAAGAUCUACCUGAAGUGUUUAUAAGACAAAAGUAAAAGAAUUUGCAAAGCACUUGGUCAGAUAUGUACCUUUUUGUGCGACUUAAUAAGUUUUCAAGCUGUGGGUACACUAAGGACUAUACAUUCUCUUACACCGACAGUAUGGCUCUUUUUUCAACCAGUGAUCCAUGCAGAUUAAAACAAACACCACUAACUAUCUGCAAAUGACGGUACAGCUACUAAACAGUAGGGCCUGACCCAUUUAUCGCGAGCCGAUUGAAUCAGGCAAUUUCAGCCUGUUUGAGACUAAUCGGUAACCUGCCAAAACUUGCAGAUUUCCGCCGAUAUUUUCAGAGAUAAAAUGCGGAGAAUACGAUUCGGUUUCACUUCGAAAUUGUUUCGCCAUUUGAAAAGAUCCACCGACUUAUCCUGUAGAUGGCGUAGCAACCAACGGAGGAGAGUGGUCCGCCUCAAUGGUAAAUAAACCAGUUUGUAAAAUACACAAUAAGUCAACAAGUUUCAGUUCAACCCACUUCACCAUGUUCCCCGCUGUGCUGGUCUCGGUCACGCCGAGUUAACGGUGAAGCACCAUGUAAUAUGCAAGCUAAAGUUAGAGUUAGCCAUCUGCUAUUAGCCUUGCUGCACUGUUAGCCGUGCCAGUAACGGUAGAAUGAACAACAGUACACAUUACGUAAUCGAGCUACUUCUCCCUCUUCGGGCCCUAGUACACUCAGGACUAUAUAUUCUCUUGCUUUAACAGUAUGGCUUGUUUUUCAGCCGAUGAUCCAUGCAGAUUAAAACAAACACCACUAAUUAUUUGCAAACGAUGGUACAGCGACUAAACAGGCAAGAGAGAAGAGCACAAGUGUACAAAUUACACGUUUGCAAGCAGCUUUAAAAAUUGAGUGUGACAGACAAGCAAAAAAAAGUGCCACAACCUUUAAACAACAGCUCUAUUUUAAGCUCCUGUCAGUUAUUUCAAGCUGUAGUGCAACCAACGAGACCCCCUGUAAAGGUGUCUGGGGACAAAAUUGGACCCAUCCAAGACCAAAGUACUGAUGCUAACAUUUUGUGAAGCUGGUUUGACACACACAUACUCAUGCGCACCCCUAUGGGAGGGCACGCUCGAAGGGCUCAUCCAAUCUGUCAGCGUUCUGCCAGCAUGCUCCCCUCUCCCUCUGCGACAUGACCUGCACGCAAACAGAAGCUUUCACCAAAUAAUCACACUGCGAGGCUUUGAAAUAUGAUGUGCUCUUUUUUUUUAUUUUUUUUUUUAUGUUUGCAGCAUCAAUACUUCACAGAUUUGAACGAGCUGAGGGUGGAAAGUCAAGCAGGACGAGCUCAAAUUAGUCAAUCAGCUGGACAUGCGGAUUUAACUAGAGUGGAGUCAUUUGAGGCAAAAGCAGGGUCCAAAAGUUGAAGUCCUGGUCCCUUUUUCCUACGUGUUUCAAAGUAGAUUAAAGGCCAAGUCAUGAAUCUUUCCAAGUUAAGCUCAAGUAUUAAAGACGGGAUAAAAAUAUCAGAGUGUAUGAUCAAAAGUUAAAAAGAUUCAGGCCGAAUUGCAUUAAAACUUCAUUUGACAAGUCUAGAAUUACAAACCCCAAUGUCCCAACUUCAUUGGACUUGGAGUUUGAAGACAGAUGAAGCCUCUUUACUCUUAAAUUAAAGCCAAAUAAAGUUAAGUUAACGCCACAUAUUUGGGUUAAUUUAGAAGCACUAUUAUUUCAGAGUCUAAUUUUGCAAAACGUCUUAAGUGAGUACACAGUUUGAAAUGCAUUGCAUCACUUAUGCAAAGUUUAAUGUAGUAAGUAUGUGUGAUGCAAUCUCUUUUAUAAAUUGGCUCAGAGCUUUAAUGUUCCCAGACUGAUGCGUUUGGGGAUGUAGAGUCGCUCAGAGGCACAGCAUUUGACUGCAGAUUCAGAGGUCUGAGGUCCGUCUUCUGAUGCAGAGAAACAGCAUCGCUCUUAAUGUUCAAAGAGGUUUUUUCCCCCUUUUGCCAUGAGCUCUCUGCGGUUCGCCAUGUCACCAUACCUGCGCAGCAUGCUUAACCCAUACCCCGUGCGAGGGUAUCUUCAAAAAUCUUCAAAAUCAAGAGGAAUUUCUCCAGAAACCCUUCGUUUAAACUCCCCUCUGUUAUUUUUCAAAGUAAACUUUUGGUCGAGCAUGAGCGUCUCUUACAGACUUUUAAUUUCACAGCAAAUCAGAAUAAUUCCACAGAGAGCGGCGAGAUGAUAGCUUGUCAACUGCUUGUAAUAUCUUCCACUCGCUUAUCUAUUGUGACAUUUUUUUUCUUUUUUUUUCCACGGACCAUCCAUCGUAUCAAAACAAAACACCUGGGCAACCACGCAAAACAUUACCAUUCAAAUUUGCCGUCCAACUUUUUAUUAGUUUGCGGACUCAGAUUUCAUGCAAGGGGCAUUUUUUGGCACUUAAAAUUCUGUCAUACACUGACAGGUGCUGAAAAAAUCCACAGGAUUAAUGCAAGAUUUAAAGUUCUGGCAAUUCUCCCUGUGGGAAGUUGUCCUGGAUUUAUUUCCACUCAUUCAUGCAGAGACGACUAAAUAUUAAAAGUAAGUAUGAGAUUCAUUUAAGUGGCGAAGUCCUGCUUCACUGCAAGACCUGGAUGGCAUCCAAGUUUCCUCUUAGUGGAUAGUUUAGGUUCAGAGUUAAUACACACUGUGUUAUUUUUAAAGACUACAGAGAGGGGCGGCUGCUACAGUAAGAUUUUUAGGGUGUAUAAGUAUCAAGGAAGUGAAAAUAGUUCAGGAUUCUGCGCAAAAAAGAACAGCCAUGAUGUGGUGGUCAAGAUGUAGUCAAAGGGGCAACUGUUGUUUCCAGUUUCACUGCCUGCACAUCAAGUCAGCUCCUGGAUCCUUCUGCUACUGAGCCAUACUAUUGCAAUACAUGCAGAAUGUAGUUUUACAUUUUCUUAUUGUCAUAUGCAAAGUCUUCUUCACUUUCCUUCAGUCCACCUUAAAUAUGCCUGGACCACUAGAGGUCACUAGCAGUUAUUUUACUAUGUGUGUAUAUGUUUUUUCUUCUUUGCGUUUUUCAGUUUCGACAAUAUUUUUGGAUGCAGUAAUGAACAAUGUGGGUUUUUUUUAGAUGAUUUUUAAGGGUCACACGGGGACUGCCACUACAGAGUUAUGUCUGUUUUGUGUUCUAAAGGCGUAAACAUGGGUUUGUCACCUUUGUGCAGAGGCUUCUUUAGGGGACAGCUGUGUAUAUGUAGCUGCAUUUACAUGGACAGAAAUGAUUGAUGAGCGUUUGGAUUAUUUGAUUUUGCACCCAUAUAAACAGUGGAGUCAGAUUUUCCAAUCCCUUAGAUUUUCAAUCAGAUCAAGAAACUUUCUACAUGUAAACAUCGCUUUUUUGUGGUAGUGUUAGUCGUCUCCCAAUCGAAAGGUUGGGGGCUUGAAUUCAAGUCAGUGGCAUAUGAUAUUGAAGUGGUCAGAAGUAGGGCCCAACUGCUUUAUCAACAGCCCUAUUAAAUCGGCCAAUUUUAGCCCAUUUGAGACUAAUCGGCCAAAACGCGCUAAUAUGCGAGCUAAAGUUAGAGUUAGCCAUCUGCUAUUAGCCUUGCUACACUGUUAGCCGUGCCAGUAACAGUAGAGUAAACAACAGAACACAUUACGUGAUCGGGCUACUUCUCUUACUGAGGCAGCUGCACGUCUCCAGAUGAGACCGGAACGGAAAUGUGUAACGUGAGUUAAGACGUGGAGACACCGAUCGGAGGCAGCAUGAAGAGCAGUAGCCUACAGUAUAUCUACAGUACAUAUAUAUAAAUUUCAUAACUUAAUAAAAAAUUUAAAAAAAUCUGCUGAAUAAUCGGUAAUCAGAAUUUUUUACCCCCUUAUAAUUGGUCGGGCCCUUGUCAGAAGGUUGGAGAAAACACUACAUCAACAGUCCGUAUAAAACAAUCCAUUUUCCAGAUUUGUUGACUCGUUUGAGAUACUAUGUGCUGUCGAUGAUAAAAAUCAUUUUUUUUCAUUACUCAGCAUUAUUUUAUUAUUAAAUAAAUAGUUCAAUGGUUUGAAAACCUUCAGAUCAGCUUUUAUAACCGUUUUUACACAGCUGGAGAAACCCUCUUAGAGGUCCUCGCUUACAUGUCAGUAUUUGCCCUAAAGGAUUAGAUCAAAGUCAUUCAGCCAUGAUAUGACUGCUGGUGAAAGCCCUCCUUACUCCACAGCCUCCUCAGAAAUCUCCAAAGGACUUCUACCUCUUACUUGCUAACACAGGUAACCGUUUUCUUUUCGUGAAGUUGGGGGGAAAAAAAAUCUGGAAUUUCCCUUUAAUAAAAAAUCCAUUUACAUACAUAAUUCAGCAAACUUGCUGCACUGUUUUGCAUCACAUGUGCCUAAUGCAUCAUCACCAUCUUAAAAAGCGCUCUAUUGGCAACGCCCUCAUACAUGACAUGCAUCCCAAUCCAUAUUAAUGAUUGCAGCUUGUUAUGGCUGUUACUGCCAGAGAAUGCAGACAUUUAUUAACCUCGGGUGUCCAUUCCAGACACAUAUAAACACAUUUAUUAUUGUAAGUGGCGUCAAUAAGCCGACCUUUGUUGUGUGUGUGUUUAGCGUGAAUGAUUUAGCGCCGUGUCCAGAAAUGACAGUCCUGCAGGGCCGGUACUUAUUACAUGUGCCGAUGUAUGAAUACUGAUUUGGUUUUUGCCUUUGAGAUCAUAUGAUGAUGAGUUUUGGUUUGAUUAAUACACAGUCUGGAGAAAGAGUAUCUGCCAGACUCAAGUUUUUGCUCCCAUGAGUUCUCCCUCAUUAGCAUAUAAUAUCAUUUCCCCUCCACGCUGCCUUUGAUAUGCCACAAUUUUGUUUCAAAGAGAGCCGCGGAAACUUUCAAAGUGAAGCUCAGUCAAGAUUCAUUUCUAAACUGCAACCCUGAGGAAACAGCAUAUUUCUGUCAACUCACCAUGUAUCUUAAUUUACAUGUAGAUUUAAAUUGUAAACCACUUCGGCUUUGUAUUUUCAUUUUUGUCUUGACUUGAGGAAAGUUGUGAAUCAUUUUACUGCAGUUUUGAUGAUAUUUACUUGCAACAUUAAUUCUAAAAAAGUAAGGAUGCUGGUAAAAUAUAGAUAAACAGAUUUUGAGGGUUUGCACAUAAACCCAAAUCUGAUAUUUCAAUGAAAAUGGUGCAAAGACAUCAUGUUUAAGAAAAAAAGUACACCAAGUUUGAUGCCAGGAAAACAUAACAGCAUUAAAAGAUCCAAAGAAGCAGGAGAAAUUGCUUUUAAAAGGAACAAAACAACUAAACAUCACGAGACUGGCAUGACCUUGGCCCUCUGCGUUAAAAACAGGGACGUUAAUAAUUUUUUUUGAACCCGUAUCCUGUCAAUACAAGCGUUCACAUCAGCGACGUUUUCCCAUCCUGCGAUAUUGCAGCUUUCUUUUUGUAUCACUAUCAUUUUCUAAAGUUUCACAAACUGUGUGUCCACUUCUGACCAAUCAGAUUUCGUGUUGUUGCGACAUCUGAUUCACCAGUAUAUCCAACAUGGUCGACAGGCUGAUUGUUUACGUGUCGGAGAACAGAGUGCUCUUUGAUAAAAAACACAAAUAUAACAAAGAUAACGACCUGAAGAACAACUUGUAAAGAGUCAUAGUGUCGGAUUUCUCAUAUGACGAUGGUUUUUGUGCUUUAACAGUUUGCUAAACGUCUUUGUUUUAACUUUCAUCUGUGCUAAGUAACUUUAGCUCGUAAGCUAACCUGUUCAGAUACAACAUACCAUAUGUAUUUUCACUGUCUCAAACUCAACCGCGUUGCUGUCACAGCACCAUUAGGUCUCGGUUGUUACCUUAGGUUUAUGGAUUAUAGUUUAAUGUGCUUAUCUGGUACUGGCCCCGACUCAGUACAUGCUAUCAUGACAGACAGACAUCUCAACAUUAGUGUCUAAUCAGAACUGAAAAACAGUCAAUCUGGUGUUGAGUCAGUCUUCCUGCUUCCACCCGGGAUGCGUCUUUUUUCCCCCCGGAAAGUCGCAAAAUCGCAUCGUGCUUGAUGUGUAUGGUCAGGCAUGUCAAAAUUCACCUCAAAAUAUUUCAUACUUACACGUCGUAUAUUUGCGUUUUUCUUCUUUGCAAUACAAAGCUUGGCGCAGCAUCCACAAAUUCAGGAUAAGCAUGUACUUGGUUUGAUCUCUCCAUCUAAGGACUUAUUUAUCAAGCUUAUUAUGCUAUCCUUUGUCAUUUUUCUGAACAUGCUUGUGUGCGGCCAUCAAACACUAUUAUCUAGGAUCAGCAGUCUCACUAGAUCUAACAUAUGACAGUUCAAAAUCUCUAACAGCUAAUUAUAACCCCAUAUUGUUUGCUAUUGACUCGGAUCCCUAGAUACAAUUGCUGCAUCUGUGAUUGUGUGUCAUCCCCGGGAGAUUUGAUGGAUUGUGCGGACGGGAGCUGCUUUCACCCACAGGUUGAAAAAAAAAAGAAAAAAAGAAAAGUCAGCAAUUUAGAGCACUCUGACAAUUAGCGACAGUGUGCGUGUGGGCGUACUGUAUGCGCCCUGUUCCUGCUGUGUAUGUGCCAUGCAUAUUCAGUGUUCAUGUAUGAAUUCAUGAGGGUUUCUCGUGUGUGCGUGUGCACAGGAAUGCUCAGGCCCUUGGGUGCCCCAUGCAUCCAUUACAUUACAUCUUAUUUAAUGAAAGCUUGAUUAAUUGCAGGGCCGUGCCUUCUUUGUCUCUGCAGCUUCAGGCCCUUACAAUAAUAUAAGAAGUCAUUAUGCCUGUUGUUAUAAUUAGCUGUAAAAUGCAAGUUAUUUCCCAUUAAGAUACCAAUAAAUGCAGGCUGAGAACACUCCACGCUUGUGUCUCUAGGAAAAAAAAAAGUGGCCAAGUUUUAUGUAAAUAGGAAUUGUUCAAAAACACAGCAAGCGCUGGCGCUGCUAUUUUAAUUGCAGAUGCAUCCUCUGUCAGCUUCUGUGAUGACUUUAUGGAUGCAGAUAUGCAAACAAUGCCCUGCCUCAAGAUGAAAAGUUGCAUAUUGUACGUGUAAACCCCCUUUUUCGUGGCCAAAAAUUUGCAUCCUAAGCGUAGAAGCCGGGGCUCAAACUGUGAUUUGAUGUGAGGUGACUGAUGGUGUGCUCGUAGGAGAGAAAAUGGAUGUGAAAACAUCUGCAUACUGUGAGUGUCUCUGUGUGGCUACACGUGUUUGUGUGCAAAGAGUGUGUAUUAGAGCUGAUAGACAUACAGUACCCUGGUUCUGCCUAUGUGGAGUCAUAGAUAUAUGAAUUAGGCAGCGGCCUAGAAGGAGAUCAAAAAGCAGGAUCAGCAGACUUGAUCUCCUUUUGACUGUUUCGUAUUCUGUUUCAUCCUCCACCCCCGUCCACAUCCCUCCUCCCUCCUUUCCUUCCUCAGACCUGCUCCUCUUCUGUGAUCUGCAGACUGCGGCCAUGGGAACUCCCCAGGCUGCUUUGAUCACAAGUAUUAUUUGUUUUUCUCCGACACGAUCAAUGAGAAAUUGAGCGGUCAGACUUGGUCAGACUGGCCUAGGGCGGAUCAGGUCAUGGUCUUCAAGAGUUUGACUCAUUUCCAGUUUCAUCCCCUCUGGAGGGUACAAACUCCCAGUCCAAUAUAGGAAACUUUUGGUUUACUUAAGACUGUACUACACACACUGUCAGUCUCCAAGACGAGAUGUGUAAAACUCUCAAAGACUGUGUAGGUAGCAAAUUAAAUGCGCCUCAAAAUAGCCACGAAAAAACCGCAAUCAAAGCGGCCACUACUCCAGUUGUGUCGCUUGACAGAUGAUUGAAAGAUGAAUGAAAGGUAUGGAAGCAAGUUUAGGACGAUCUAAGAAGACUGACAGCUCCUCAUUGCUCGACGUACGUCACUGAUAUGACAGCUCGAGUAAAAUGACGAUGUCUCAAAGAAGGAAAGACAACCAUCAUCUUUUUCUAAGAACGAGCUGUCCGUCUAAACAUGACAUGGAUUACUUUCUCGUUUGUUACAGAACAUAGGAAAUGUUUGAGGAGGUGUGUUCAACAGCUUUUGUUGAGUAUGUUCAAAACUUGGCCCAGUUUUUCCAAAUAGGAUCACUGUGUGGGCUGUAAAAAUGUCCAUGCUUGCUUUUUUUUUUUUAAUUUUACUUAUCACUAUGAAUCCAUCUUCUACAUGUAUAUAUCACCAUUCUAUAGCCCACAUUUCACCCAUACAUACAUACAGUAGGUCAACAAGUCAUCCAACCACCCAUCUAUUCAUAUUUUCAUUCUUCCAUUCAUGUAUACAUUUAAAUAUCUAUCCAUCUAUCCUUCUACAAAUUACAUUAUCAUACAACCAACCAUGUUUUCAUCACCAAUCAUCCAUCUGAGUUUUGAUCCUUCAUAUCCAUCCUUUCAAAUAUCCAUCAAUUAAUAAUCCAUCUAUUUGAUUAUCUAUCACCAUUAAUUCACUUAUCCAUUUAUCAUCCAUUCAUCAAACAAUGCAUAAACCCUUCUUUCCAUCAACUUACUUUUUCCAUCAUCUAUCCAUCCACUUACUUUUCCAUCCAUCCAUCCAUCCACUUAAUUUUUUCAUCCAUCCAUCCAUCCAUCCAUCCAUCCACUUAAUUUUUUCAUCCAUCCAUCCAUGCACUUACUUUUUCAAUCAAUCAAUCAAUCCAUCCAUCAUCCAUCCAUCCACUUACUUACUCCAUCCAUCCAUCCAUCCAAACAAUCACUUACUUUUUUAAUCCAUCCAUCCAUCCGUCCAUCCAUCUACUUACUAUUUCCAUCCAUCAAUCCAUCUAUCCAUCCAUCUUUUCAUUCAUCCAUCCAUUCAUUUUCCACAUCCAUUUACUUUUUCCAUCUGCUUUUUAUCCAUCCAUUCAUUUUUUUCUAUCCAUCCAUCCAUCCAUCCAUCCAUCCAUCCACCUACUUUUUCCAUCCAUCUCCUUUUUCAUCCAUCCAUCUAUCCAUCCAUCCAUCCAUCUAUCCACCUACUUUUUCCAUCCAUCUCCUUUUUUCAUCCAUCCAUCUAUCCAUCCAUCCAUCCAUCCAUCUAUCCAUCUACCCGUCCACUUACUUUUUUCAUCCAUUCACUUUUUCAUCCAUCCAUCUAUCAAUUAUCCAACCCUUUCAUCCAUCCAUAAAUCAUUAUACACAUUCACACACAUACUCUGUCAUCUUUUUUUAAAAUCCAUCCAUCCUUUGAAUCAUCCCUUUAUCCAUGUGUGCUGAAACACUUCAGCGUGUCUUGAGGGGAGAUAUUUCAGAGAUCUAACUCCUUGUGGCAUCUUUCACUGGGAAUCAUCAGGGGUAAGAGGUCAGAAAAUAAAGCCUGAAGAACUUUGCUUUGGUUUAGUUUAAAUGAAAGAAAAAGAUUAGAGGUUCAGCAAAAAAAGAAAACUGUCGAAAAAUUCGAUCCUGCUUUGUAAGCUCAUCAGAUCCAAACCAGCUCAGCUUCUCCAGUAACUCAUACAUAUAACCUGGUAAUAACUCAAAGCUCAUGACUACACUUUGGAGUGUCCGCAUUUAUCAGCUAAGAGCUUUACCAUUGGGUGAAAGGUCUUGUUUCAGUGCAACAGUUAAGGCCCCUAGCAUGUAUUUCUGCUGACACAACACCAAUCAGCCAUUCCAUUCAAAAGUCCCAAGGGACCUGUUAGCUUAGGGCCGCAACAGACUCUGAACCCUGAAGGUGCAAUCUGCCCAAGAACAGUGGUCUUAAUCUUGAGGGUGAUUACUCUUGACCUGAAAGCUUUAUAGUGGGUUACAUAAUCAUCAUGUAUUGGAUGUUUAUAAGAAAAUUCUUAGAUGUCUUAUCUUGUCAUUUAAGGUAAUCUUGUCUUCUUUAAUAGUGGAAAUGCUCUGUCAGCACUAUCAUUAUUCAGCGUUUUUAACUAAAGGUCCUUACACACCAGGAACGGCACAAAUAUAUGACGCAAAAUUACAAAAUAUUCAGAGGCGAAUUUUGACACGCCUGACCAUACACAUCAAGCGCAAUGCAAUUUUGUGACUUUCCGAGGGGGAAAAAGACGCAUCCCGUACCAGAUAAGCACAUUAAACUAUAAUCCAUAAACGUAAGGUAACAACCGAGACCUAAUGGUGCUGUGACAGCAACACGAUAGAGUUUGAGACAGUGAAAAUACAUAUGGUAUGUUGUAUCUGAACAGGUUAGCUUACGAGCUAAAGUUACUUAGCACAGAUGAAAGUUAAAACAAAGACAUUUAGCAAACUGUUAAAGCACACAAACCAUCGUCAUAUGAGAAAUCUGACGCUAUGACUCUCCACAAGUUGUCCUUCAGGUCAUUAUCUUUGUAAUAUUUGUGUCUUUUAUCAAAAAGCACUCUGUUCUCCGACACGUAAACAAUCAGCCGGUCGGCCAUGUUGGAUAUACCGGUGAAUCUGACGUCGCAACAACAUGAAAUCUGAUAUGUCAGAGGUGGACACACAGUAUGCAACACUUUAGAAAAUUUGACCAUGAUACGAAAAAAUAAAUGCUGCAAUAUCACAGGAUGGGAAAACGUCGCUGACGUGAACGCUUGUAUUGACAGGAUACAGGUUCGAAAAAAAAUAUCUACGUCCGGAAUAAUCACAGGAAAAAAACGCUCUCGGUGUGUAAGGACCUUCAUACUGCAACCUCUACAUGUUCAAAUGCAGCUCUUCAACAGUUUCUACAUUCAUACCUUUUUACCUUUUCAGCAGCUCUGCACAUUUUCUGCAAGGAAACACAAUUUAUCUAAUUUGGUAUAAAUACCCAGUGAUUAGAAGGUCAUGAGAAUAAAGUAUUAAUUAGUGCUUUUAAUGACUAAUUAAGAGCCAAUGUACUCCAAUAAACACUUGCUUGUCCUUGUAAAAAGUUUAAACCUUUUGUCAUUUUUCACCCAGAACAUUUGGUUUUAGAGCUUCGGUUCGACAAUUUUUUUAACAGGUUUUCAAUGUUUCACAAUCUAAUUAAAAAAAUCGCCUUUCAGGUGUUUUGCUAAACUGAAACGGAAGAAAUGACUUCCUGUUGCAAGGACACUGGCAAAACCAGGACCUAUUUUUUUUUCGUUUUUAUUGCUCUUUAUGAGUAAGGAUUCACAAUGAACCGCUGUGAUCUGUGUCCUGCGAGAACAACUGAAUUGCAGUUACAUUUAAUUCAAACGGACGGUGUGUGUAAAUUCAAGGUAAUGUGCCUAAUUUGUGAAUGAAAACAGCUUUGGGACUAAUAUGAGGUGGACUGUUUAUGACCAUAGCCAAAAUGCCAAAAGACCACUGGGCGAACUGACCAGUCUCAGAGCAUUCAUAAUACAUGCUAAUUAGAGUCAUACAUUCUGUGCACACAGGCUGUAGUUUUCCUUCUUUUAAAUACCAAUCAGCAAGAAUAAAGUUGUGUUUACAGACGCUCAUUAGUGUGGCCAUUUUGUCAAGCAGUUCCAAGUUGUUGUUUCAAGUGAGCUUUUUGGUGUCUCUUGAAGUUGGAGGUCAUGUCGGGUUGCUCUCUAAUUGGGUGUCAAGAGGAUUCUAAAUAUUUUCACACCCACACAGCAGACACAUUCACACACAUUCACACACACACACCAAAUACAUCUUGCUUUAAUUGGUCAAAUAGGCUUCCCUGGCCGGUAGUACAAAAUCAUAAACCCUUACACACACACAUAUUGUGGUGAUGUACAGUAGAAGCCCCUAAUAAGGAUUUGUCAGGCCUGUAGAUUUGCAGAGCAGUGGAGGAAAACCGCCUUUGCCGCUCCAGAGACAGGCCGCUGAAGCGAUUCAACUUUGACUAGUGCGGUCGUGGCUGUUCCCCACACUUACAGCCAAUUAAAAUGCAACAGAAAGUGGGGCAGACAAUCAGACACGCCGAGGUGUCUUUUUUCAACUUGUUGCGAAAUUUGCGAGACAAGUUCCCUCAGUUGUUUCUGUAAAAGCUGCAGAGAUGUAAUGGAUUAUUUAUCAUCGAUGUGCCGCACUGAGAAGCAGGCCUGGAGUUAGAACUCUGAGAGAAAGGCAGGGAUUGAAAAAUAGGCCCAAACAACAAGAACUGCCAAGUAAAUCCUGACUCACAAGGUGUUUACCUUAUUUUACACCAACAUCAAUACGUACACUGCAGAUCCCCUCACUCCUCAUUGAAACACCUGCUUACCAAUAUAAGAAACACCUCUAUCAGCAGGUACGCAGAUACCCGACAAUUAACAUCAUCAUUAUGCCAGCUGUUUUUAAAAAUACCUGAAAUAAGAAUAAAAAAAGCAACAAAUAGGUAUUAUUAGAUAGCCGACAUUAAAUUAUUUUCAGUUUCAUGAACAAAAACACACACUCCCACAUUCUGUCAAAUUUACUUUCAAGUGCUUACAAGAACCAGUCGAUACCCGAGCCAGCCUCUCUUUUCAGAGCUCGUCACUUUGUAUUACCGACACGUGUUAGGAAGAAAACAGUCUCUGAAUACCAAAGUUACCUCCAAAUAAACACGUAAACACUGGCACUAAUGUGAAAUAGCCCAAGACGAAAUGUAGCAUGACAUAUUAGAUUAACUUCAGCUUGCAUGAUAGGUAAUGAGAAGAAAAUUCAUUAUACAGCAGUGAUAGAAAAACUCUGUUUAGUGUAAGUGAAUGAGCUUCUCUUUUCAUAUAGUCCAAGCUGUACUCAGUACUUGAUCGAGGCUCCUUCUCCAUCAGAUUAAUGUAGUGCAGUGUUUCCCCUGGGGAGUGGGGGUCGCUGUUACCCCCACUCUCUUGCUGCUCGAAAAGCUACGCUGUUAUGUUGCGUUACGUUUCCCGCGCUAUAUAGCUAUGUAUAACUUUAAACGUUAUUCUUCACAUUAAUGGAAGAGGGUCUGACAGGAUUUGAUGCGCUCAUUGAUGAUCCAUAACAAGUCGAAAAUAAUGUCGUGUGUUGUUGUGCUUUCACAGUUCGAGUAGAAAUCAAUCGUGGCGCAUUGCUAUUAAUGCUACUAAUGCUACUAAUGCUAUUAAUGCUACUUGCUAUAUAGACUGUGUAUAAGCUUGAACGUUACCUUUCACGUUAGUGGAAGAGGGUCCGACAUGAUUUGAUGCGCUCGUUAGAGGGAGGGGAGUGGAAAUAAAUUGUGGCGUAUUGAUAUUAACUCUACUAAUGCUAUUAAUGCUACUCGCUAUAUAGACUAGGGCCCGACCGACAUGGAUUUUUUGGGGCCAAUGCUGAUACAGAUUAUUAGAGGGGAAAAAAUCUGAUUAGUGAUUAAUCGGCCAAUUUUUUUUUUUAAAUUAAAUUAUAUAUUUUUUUAAAAUGUGUAUGUAAUGUGUACUGUUGUUUAUUCUACCGUUACAGGCACAACUAACAGUGUAGCAAGGCUAACAGCAGAUGGCUAACUCUAACUUUAGCUUGCAUAUUACAUGGUGCUUCACCGUUAACUUGACGUGACCGAGACCAGCACAGCGGGGAACAUCGUGAAGUGGGUUGAACUGAAAUUCGUUGUCUUAUUGUGUAUUUCACAAACUGGUUUAUUUACCGUUGAGGUGGACCACUCUCCUCCGUGCGUCCCUGAGCUGUCUGCUCCAGAUCCGUCACUCUGCUGUGCUGUGAGGUAGUUAGUGGAUGAAGAUUGUCAUGAGGUCGCUGCGCCAUCUACUGGAUAAGUUGGGGGAUCUUUUCAAAAGGCAGAACAUUUUCGAAGUGAAACUGAAUCUUAUUCUCCGCAUUUUAUUUCUGAAAAAUAUCGGCGAAAAUUGUUGAGUUUGGGCCGAUUAUUGAUUAGUCUCAAAUGGGCUAAAAUUGGCUGAUUUAAUCGGCUCGCCAAUAAAUCGGUCGGGCCCUAAUAUAGACCGUGUAUAAGCUUGAACGUUACCUUUCACAUCGAUAGAAGAGGGUCCGACAGGAUUUGAUGCGUUUGUUGAUGAUUCAAAACAAGUCGGAAAUAACAUUGUGUGUUGUUGUGCUUACACAGUGCGAGUAGAAAUCAUUGGUAGUACAUUGAUAUUAAUGAUCAUGUGAAAUUUCAGUAGCGGCGCACGUAAUUCAGCAGUCGCUUUAACUUUGAUGACUUUGAUUGUUGGCUCUCAUCUUUCUCUUCAUGGUACUCCAAAGAGCCUCCAUUUCUGGCAGUUUUGGCGCUGAUAUGAAUGAAAAAGGAAAUCUGAAUCUCUGUAAAGCUUUCUCAGCAGAUGGAAGCAUGAAGAGCUCGAGAAUCUCAGUUGGUUGACUCAAGACUUGACACUCUUGGACCUUGAUUUACAAACAAGAUGCGAAAUUUACUUGCAACUAAAGCAAGUAAGUAGUCAAAUGCUUUUUUCUCUCUGGUUCAGGAGUGGCUUGACAGAAAAAAGAAAUACAGCACUUGUAGUCCAUUUCCUGGACCCAUCUGUGUGUAGAGGCUCUUGAUACUCCCACUCCAGCCUCAGUCCACCCUUGUGAAGCUCUCCUUGAGUCUGCUUUGUUCGAUGAUCCUCUCAAGGCUGUGCUUAUCCCAGCUUUCAAGCUCCCAUAAGGAGUUUUUAACACUGAUAAAAUUCAUACUGAUGCUUUUUCACGACAUUUUCAAAAGCAAACAAGAACAUCAGAGACAGGACUCAAGAUUUUCAUGUCCUAGUUUUAAUGCGAGGGAGGUAGGUGUCAGCUGAGGAGUUCCUCAUUGGAGCUUUAAGGGGAACCUUAUAAGAUCUUACUACACAUAUAGGCGAAAUAUUCUUUUAUGUCUCCCUCAGGCAAUAAUUGGGCUUAAAGUAUUCGAUGAGUGGCUCCAAGUGUGAAAGGGGGAAAAAAAGUGAUAUAAAAAGCGUUAUAAGAGGACCUAACAUGGAUCUAUCGAGCAGCAUCACGCUCUGCAUGUAAUCAUAUGUGCAGUCAUGAAUGUGCCACGACUGAUAUAUUUUCUUAGAGUGAAAUGCAGCAGAGAAAUUCUCAGAGCGAUAAAUCCAAUCCUUCCUUAUCUGAUUUGACUGCAGUGUUGUCUCAAUCCAACAUCUUUUUCUUCUUUCAAUACCAUGAAAAACACAUAAAACAACCUCUUAAAGUGAUCUUUCCAUUUAAUUAAACGUCCAAUUCUUCAACAUGAAGACUGUGAGACUUCCUCAGAGAAAGCUUGUAAAUACAUAUUACAGCCAAAAGUCUAAUAAAUGUCCUACACCAUGUUAGGUAAGGAAAUGCAAGUAAAUACAUGCCAGAUGUAAUAGUCCCUUUUAGUAUUGUUCACUAUUUCUCCUUUUAGCACACAGACUCAAGGCGGUACAUAAAAGUCAUGCACCAGUGGAAGAAAGCGGAGGGAACAGCGAGAACCAUAACUUCAAUCAAAUGUCCCCGUAUAAAGAGAGGAGGAAUAUUUGAACUCAAAAAAUCUCAAGUUAUGACUCAGGCACCUGCAGUGCAGAUGUUUAAGCCCUUUUAUGGCACAGAAAAACGCUUCACAAAUAUGCUCAGGCUAAUCAAAAAUAAGAGGUUAAAUUAGGGGAACAGAUUGUGCAACAAAGCACAAAUAAGAAUUUGGGAUAAAUACGCUAUUAGCAUAUGUGAGGCGCUCCUAAAUUUUCAGCUGGGCUGAGUAGGCACAAAUCUCAUCAGGCGGCGACAGCAAGAGGAGGACUAGGUGGAUUUAGCGGCUGUGAGCCACCGUUUUUUUUUCUCUUUUUCUUUUUUUCCCCCAGUUUGAAAACAACAGCAGAGUGACGAAGACGUUUCAAAAAACAACACGUUCCUUCUGUUCCCAUCUGUAGCUCGCGUCGUCUGCAGAGUAAUUUGGGAUGAUGCACUCGGCGGUGAGCUCCUAUUUUACAUUUAUCACGGCCCUAAUGCAAUCACACACACCGAGAUAUUAGGGAGGAGAGGAGUGGGGUGGAGCGGAGCAGGGGGGAGCAUGGCCGGGGAUGAAUCCCAGCAGCUCUCUGAGAGUGGGGAAACAAAUCUACAAGUGACAUUCGAUUCCAGCUGACAGCUUCUUAUAAACACUGGCUUAUGAGGUGAUUUAUACCAGUUCAUAGGAGGGCAGUGGGAUUUUUAAAAGCUCUCACGCCACUUCAUAACACCUACCAGUCUCGCUCAUUUAUCUUCCUCAAACUUGGCCUUGUCAUUCAUUUUCGUUUUCUUCCACUCUCAAAAACAAAAGAUAUAGAUCAUGGCUAAAACUGAAAUUGAAAAUAGAUAACACAGCACAAACUCUUAAGUAACCAAAAAAAAAAUCUGCUUUUAUAACAAACAAACAUAGAAAAGUUAGAAAAGAGAAAAAGAAACAUCUUUGACCCGGUGUUUCUCUCCUCAGCUUGACAGCACAAUAGUGCUCGCAUCAUUAUCAGAACUUAUCCACUUCUCUGAAAUUGCCUUCUGCCUGUGAAAUUAAUGACAGGCAUUUGUACAGUGACAGGCGGCACCCAAUACAACUGUAAUCUCUCUCCGACUGUGUCGCGACGCCGCACGGGACACGAGGAAAACAAAUGGAGAGACAACAGGGCUUGUCAUUAGUCUUGGCACGGACUCAAGGACGCAGAAGGGAUGCUUUGUGAGUGACAGUGGGGGAACAAUCUGCUUGCUGUUCUUCGUUUUUCAUGAUAGGACUCAUUCGGGAGUGGAAAUUCACAGGUGACUGUGCAGGCAGCAACAUCUUUAAAGUACAAACAACAUUGAGUGCUGUACACCAUUACUGCCUGUUUGUGUUUGGAGAGUGCAAAAGAAGAAGAAGGAGAAGAAUGUAAAAGAAGAAGAAGAAGAGGAGGAAGGAGAAGAAGAAGAGGAAGAAAAGGAAGGAGAAGAAGGAAAAGAAGAAGGAGAAAUAUGUAAAAGAAGAGGAAGAAUGUGAAAGAAAAAAAAGAAGAAAAAUGUAGAGGAAAAACAAUGUAGAAGAACAAUGUAGACAAAGAAGAAUGUAGAUGAAAAAAAGGAUGCAUAAGAAGACCAAGAAUGUAGAAGAGGAAGACUGUAAAAGAAUGAAGAAAAAGAAAGUAGAAGAAGGAGACCAAUGAUGAAGAAGAACAAGGAUGUAAAAGAAGUACGAAAGGAAGAAGAAUUAAGAAGGAGAAGAAGGAGAUUUAAGAAGGAGAAGAAGUAGAAUUAAGGAGAAGACGAAGAAGAAUGUAAAGGAAGAACAAUGUAAUAAAAGGAAAUAGGAAAAUGUAGAUGAAGAAGAAUUGAGAAGAAGAACGUAGAUGAAGAAAGAAUGUAGACGAACAAAAAGAAUGUAAAAGAAGAAGAAUGUAGAAAAAGAAGAUGAAUGUAAAAGAAUGAAGAGGAAAAAGAAUGUAGAAGAAGAAGACCAAGAAUGAAGAAGAAAAACAAAGAUCUAAAAGAAGAAUAUAGAAGAAGACCAAGAAUGAAGAAGAAGAAUGAGAAGAAUGUAAAAGAAGACCAAUGUAAAAGAAGAAUAAAGAAGAAAAAUGUAGAGGAAAAAUAAUGUAGAAGAAGAAUGUAAAAGAACAAGAAAGAUAUUGAAAAAGAAGAGGAAUAAAAGAGAAGAAGAAUGUAGAAAAAAAAGAGGAAUGUAAAAGACACAGAAUGUAAAAGAAUGAAGACAAAGAAGAAGAAUGUAGAAGAAGACCAAGAAUGAAGAAGAACAAGAAUGUGGAAGAAGAGGUAGAAUGUAGAAGAAUAAAGAAGAAGAAGAAGAAGAAGAAGAAGAAGAAUGUCGAUCUACUCAAGUUGAAGCCAUCAUCUAACCUGUGAAAUUUUGAGCAUACUCAGUCAGUAGCAUGUGUUUCCUCAGGGUGGUGCUAUGGCUGUAGUAGAGAAAUAGUUUCAUGAAUGUGUUCAGGGGUGAAUCUUGAUUAUGUUUAUGAAACAUCAAACAGUUUGAACCCGGCAUGAAUGAAUCAAAAUGACUUCCUGUUUCCAGUCCGCCACUUUCAAACUUUGGAAAAACUCUUUGAUAACUUUUUAUUUUCCAAUUUCGACAAGAUGCUACAUGAUGUCAGACCAUAUGUGUGUUAACAAUGAUAAAAUCUUAAAAUCAAUUGUGCAGAGAGAUUAAGUCAAGUGGUAAUGUGAUGCCCUUCGCUAAAACCAGUAAGAAGCCUGAUUUACUGGUGAUGGUCCCAUCAAGUACAAAGUCAAUUCAGCUGUCCAUCCAUCCAAUUUCUUCUCUUAAUGGGGUUUCAGGGGUGGCUAUCCCAGCUGCCAUCAAGCCAGCGGUGAGGUACACCCUGACGAGUAGCCAGCCCACCUAACAUAUGGACACAAUAACCACACACACACACACACACACACACAGUCGCAUCAACAGGCAAUUUAGCAAGACCAAUUAAGAAAGUGACACCUGAUUGCAAUGUGACCUACAUCCAAUACCUCUAAAACAAAAACAACACAGACAAGUUUCUGACCCAUGUUCAGCCAUCACAUGAUCCACAUCCCUCCUUGUUGUAGCGUCUUCUUCAGUUAUUGACGCUUUUUUCCACUUAAACAUCAAUUUUCAUGGGUAGUUUGGAGGGAAAUUGGCCCUUUUUUUUUUGCCCACACGGCUGUCAUAUCAUGAUUGAAUUCAACGUCAGCCCAAUGACUGAUUGCAUUUCUGAGAAAUGAUGUUUUACGUUGAGUGAAAUGUGCAUUGAGCUGUACCGGACUGCACUAACAAGUGUGAAAUUUUGAAUGACGCGAAGAGUUUAUGACUAAAAUCUUAUAUUAUGUGACUGCACAGAGGCUGUUUUGAUGAACCACAGUUCCAAUAAUGUAAAAUUGGUGCGACUGCUUUAGUAGAGUCAAAAGAUUUGACAUUUCUCUCCCUGAAAGCAGCCAGGCAGUUUAAAUUGAGAUAAUAUAUUACACGUCAAAGCCAUGAUAAUAAAUGAUUAUUUGCAGGCAAGGUAGAAAAACGGCUAAUAUUAAACAGAGAGAGAAAGUAUAGCUUUUACUUCAGCUCUCUGUCGCCUUUUCUUCCCUUCACCUUUGAUAAAAAGAGAUAUAAUGAAAAGAAAAGGAAGGUUUUGCAAGAAAGAAGGGGGGGGAUUCUUGUUGCCUGGCAACGUCUCUCUAGAGAGAGAGAUAUGUAUGUGUGUGGAUGUCAGUGUGUGCUAGAGAGAGAUUCUCCAUAGGCUAAUGUAAAAGCAGGCGGUGUAUGUGUCUUUGUUUAUUCGUGACCACGGUGGUCAAAACCGGUGGAAGAGGAGGGGGAACACGUGGCGAGCUGGAGCACCACAUCAAGGCAGCCUGACAGUGCAGGCAUUAGAGCUCUUCAGACAGAGGGGAUAGGUAUUUCAAAGAUCCAAUUAGGCCUGGACGUGUUUCCCAUUAAUCAUUAGUGCCGAGGCUCCUCGAACGGACAGAUGGGUAAGACACUCCUUCGCUUAAGAGUCACUGUCAGAAGCGAUUUUUUUCUGCCCCAACUCAAAUGGGCUCCUCAGGAGACUUUCUAUCUAAAUUUUAAAAUUAGAUAAAACGGGUGAAAUGAAAAGCUUUCUCUGAAGAAUAGUCCCCCACUUAAUGUCAUUUGGAUUUAGUUAGAAACUGACUGGGCUACAGACUUGGGGGACAGCGGCUUGGUUACACUGACUGUGCAAAUCAUGACAAAAUCCUUCAGAAAGCGAAACCUUUUAAUGCCGACUUGUCAAAGCAAGGCGCUAAGUCCAUGCCCUGAAGCUAGAAUAUGACAAGCAAGGUACUGCAUCAUCUUCAUUUUAGUGGGAAUUCCAAUUAAAAGUGGGGUAGGCGGGAUCUAAGAAAGUGCCAGUUUUGGGGAGAAAUCUUGAAUGUAAAUACAUUCCCUCCCAACCAGUUUCCCCCUUAGCUUCUCCUAUCCCCGCACAUAAACAGACCCUUGUUCUCUCUUGUAUCGUUCUAAUUAAAUUCAAAUAUAAUGCAGAUAAACACUUCAGAUAAUUACAAAUGGGGCCCAGUCAACGUGAAAGUAAAGAGCAUUGGUGCUACUGUAGAUGCCAACAGACUACCAACAAACACAAUGUUUGCAGGACUUCUACAACUACGAUAAAGUGACAUAGUCCAGGACCCGAGGUAAACAGUUUAGCGGCGCUACAACACGCAGCAGGUCCUGUUAGACAAGAAAUACUUCUGUUACAGACACUUGGCUUACUUUGUUAAAGCGGUUUACCUGUCCAGCAGAAAGGUUACAGGGUCCGUAAGGUCCCAAAGCGUCCCCCAUCAUUUAUGCUUCAUUGAUGUUGACCUGGCUUUUUAGCUCUUGUCCGGUCAACCUUCUUUUAAGCUGAUAUCGAUGACUAAUAGCUAUUGACUGAUAUUAAAAGCUUUAUGUACGUUACAAAAAAUCAAAAUACCUUUACAUAUUAAGUCCAUAUAUUUGCGCUUUUUUCCCCUGGAUCUUUAUGUACCUGAUACUUUUGCACAGCUAGUUUUUAUUCGAUUUUACAGGAUUGCUUUGUCCACAGGGGGCGCCAAAGCUGACACAAAUUAAAAGUUUUAAUUCUCUUCCAUCCUCUCUCCCAUCAAAAGUAUUUCUACUCUGCAGCAAGACCUCUUGAAGACACUAACAAUGCUUUCAAACAUAUUCGAGUGCACCGGGUUAAGCUUUGAAGAACUAAACGUGUUACAUCAUAAAAUGGAUUACAUGGGCUCGCACAAACCUUGCACCAUACAUCAACCCAUGCAAUGAAGCCGGGCUUCGAACACGCAUAUUGGAAGACAAAGUGUUUGAAAUGUCGGCAUUAAGGCGUGAAAUAUAUACAUAGAUUCAACAUGCAUGAAGAAGUUGCAGCAUGCCAUUCAAAUAUCAAAGAUACUCUCACUGAACCUUGAAAAUAAGGCGUGCAAAUGGAGUCUGAUUUGUUGCCCUUUUGCUCCGGCUGAAUUGCCUGUGAAUACCUGCUGCACUGCCGCGGGGGGAUUUGACGGGCAAUUUAAGAUGUGUUAAGACCAAAAAGGUUUUGUGUCAAAUGCUGGGGCUGCAGCACUGUCAGAGGGCAUCAGCUCAGAGGCUCAGAACUUUCACACCCCUGAUGGACGACAGUAAUGGAAAAGAGCAGAGAAGUGUGAUUUUUUGUGGAAACUGUCUGCUUUACAAUCUAUUUUUCCAAAUCUAUGCAUCUUCACACUUUUUAAAGAAAUUAGACAAAACGACGAGAACGUGACUCCAAAGCGGCGAAGAGAUUGGAUCCGGAUUAGCUGCCUCUGUAUAUGUUUGGCAGCCAAGAUAAAGCUCUUUACAUUUCAAUUUUGGGCAUCCACUAAAGAGUUUGUCACCACUGACCACAAAGGCAAAAGCAGCUUCUGUCAAUCUUAUCUGCGCUCGCAUGUACUCGUGCUUGAUUUUGAAGCCCAGUCCCAACCAGAGGAGAUAGAGCAGGGUUUCAACUAGAGGGUGGAAAGUGUUUCAUUGGAGAUAAAAACAUCUCGGUUGGCGAAAAAUGUUAAAAAGAUGAGCUCUCUUGUGAUAAUCGGUCAUUUAAUCAUGCUCUCCCAUCAGUCUGAAAAGCCAUUUGUCUUUUCCCCCCUCCAUUUUAUUUGAUUCCCGCAAAUGCACACUCCGGUCGAGAUGAACAUUUUGUUACUCAGAAAGACUCACGCUGUCAGCUCGGUGUAAUAAAGUGCCACUUAUUUAACAAAAAUCAUGUCCAUUUCACCCAAAAAUCUCUUUUCACAUCAAAUCGCUUAUCAUGCGUAAGCACCGUUUACUCAGUCGUCAUGGUGAAACGGGGUCCGAAUGGAGAAUUCUUGGAAGGGCCUUGAAAAGCUUUUCACCAUCUUGUAAUGCGUCCUCAAAAUGAUCCAGAGAUUGAAGAAUUCUGCCCAUUUAAACCAUUACAAAUCUCACAACAAUCACAAAUCCCAUUAAAUCAAGCGGCAUCUUACCAAACUUAGUUUCAAUUUUCUCCAGCUACUCAGGAAGAUGAUUUUUCUCUUUAAGGAGCAGCACCAAAAUUUGAAGAUUGACACGCUUGAUAUUACUGCCAAAAAAGAAGGCUUAAAAGCUUUGGUUGUACCUGCAUAGAUUUAUUUUAACAAACCAGUUAUUUUGUUGUUCCGUUAAAUCCCAAAUACUUCAAAAACUAACAGGAAGUGUGACAGCACCUGAGGCGAGAAGAAGGGAAAAGGUAAAUUUGUUGAUUUUUCAGUGCUUCGGUUUAAAAAAGAAAAAAGUUAAAAUCGCCAAGAUUUCCUACACUGUCAAACUGACUCAAAGGGAUAUUCCAGCGUAACACCAAGUUAGACACCCCCUCGAGUAAUAAAUGUUGCCGACCGCUUGCUUCUUUAGUUUUACCAACUUUAGUAACGACCGCACGAUGGCAAUACACAGCUGUCUCAGGAGCCACACAUGAACCGAAACCAAGUCGCCACUCUAUAGCCACAAAUAAUACUCAGAACAGCACCUAACUUCAUCAACAGUACAUAUAGGGUCUCAGCCAUAGUACUAGCCACCAAACAUCUUUUUAGCUUUGCCGCUUGUUUGUAGGGAGACCUUGGACAAGUCCAUCAUCAACUACGGUGGGGUGACGCAGCUCAAGAAAGAACAUUUAUAAUCAUUUCUUCAUGGAAAUGCAAUCAGACCGAGAUGCUAAGGCAGAAGAACUACAGAGUCUGCAGUGCAAUAUGGUUAAUAUUGAUGAUUAUUACUUCAAGGAAAUGAUAAAGAAAUUAUCAUAAAUGUUCUUCCUUGAGCUGCGUCACCCCGCUGCAGUCAAUGAUGGACUAGUCCGAGAAAACGGACAAUCGGUGUGGUUCAUUCGAUUUGUCUACAUAUUUUUAUGUUAUUUUAAAAACCUGCAUUCCCCCUUGGGUGUUGCUCAGUUUUAUAUUUGUAAGAGUAGAUCUUUUUGAGCACUGAAGAUUCUUACACUUUGCACAAUAAGGAAUGUCAUUUUAUUUAGAUUUUAUUUAUUUGUUAUUAUGUUAAUGUUUAUGCCACUGGGACAUUACUUUGUACUUUGUUAUUACUCGUACUAGUCUUGAUUACCUCUGGCUCUUUAAGGCCCCAUCUUUAAUUUUUUCAGUUUAUCGUUCCUCUGUUAUUUAAGGUUAAGGAAACGUUCAUUCUGCAUAUAGUUUUGAUUGUUUUUUUUUUAAUAAAACUUUGUUAAAUGAUUUCAUGGCGUGUAUAAAUACUUUUUAAACAUUUAACAUAUUUCCACAAUACCGUGAUAAUAUUGAUAACCUUGAUAAUUUGGGUCACAGUAAUCGUGAUGUUAAAUUUUCAUAUCGUUACAUCCCUACUUGUCAAGAGGAAAAAGCAUUGUACUUUCUUUAAGCUUUAAACUCGGUGAACUCGUUGACAUCUGAUGGUUUUUUAAGACCUGUAGCAGCUCCAGUAAUGAAUGCCUCACAUACUUUUGAGUCUCUGUCAGAUUCACUCCAUUUGUAAGGAUGAGAGAAGCCUUGAUGUAUUGAAAUGAAACUAUGUGUGAAUUUUUAAUCAAAUGUAUUGCAUUCAAUAUUUAUACAUCAGCCCCUAUAUGAAAUUGUGAAUUUUUUUUUUUUUUUACUUUCUUAUAUAUGUGAUCAGGCUGUUGUUGGAACUGUUGCCAGGAUGCCACUGCAGUGAUGGAAACAAUACGAAACGACGCCACACAGGAAUAAACGGUGUAGUGUGUUGCCUUUAAAACACAAAGCAGGUGGAUAUAAUUCUCUGCCUAGUUUGAUUAGAGAGUGAGGAGUCAGUAAAUGGGGUUUAAAUAACAAUGGUGUGAAAUUAAUUUAUCACUCAGCGGAACAAACAGACAGUUGUUAGGAAGGAAACGACUCUUCGCCACAUCCCAGCGUGAGCCAGCAUUUGAACUUAAUCAGAUAAUGGCUUCCCGGGCGAGCGUAAACACAUCGCUCUGCUCUCCAUUGUUCCAGGCUGAGCUUGUGAACAUGUCACGUUUUUUUUUUUUUUUUUUUCAAAUUCGCACUGAUACACUCGUUCGCACCUGGAGGCUGCCCCGGGGCAAGCGCAGAGAUGCGGCGCCGGACGGCUGAGCAGCUCUACCGAAGCGGUGGGGAGCCUGGAUGGAGGGCAGCGCGGUGUUAAUUGCCAACAGAGAGGGGAGCAAGAUCCAGUCACCUCGCAGUCUGUCAUAGAAUCGAAAGAGAUUGUGCUUUACCGGCCACAGGGAACAAGGACGACGCCACAAUGUGAAAACUUAUUCAUGUGCAUCGGUUAUUGACAGAAAGAAAAGCCUAUAUUAUGACAAUCUCUCUUUUGCACGCCAUCUGCACUUCAAGCCUGUUGCUUUUUCCUCUGUUAGAAGCUUAAUUAGUCCGUUGCUGAGCCACUGCUUGCCUCCGUACGCUUUAUGCCAUGAUCAUACACUUGGGCAUUGGGCAGCUGGUAUGCUCUCAAAGCAAUGAGUCAUAGCAGAUGAAAAUGUUUCACACUCAAACAAGGGCACAGAAAGAUAAUGGCCAGCUCUGGUGCAAAAGGGACGGGGACAAAGAUGAGCCACGGAGAAGAGUGUUUGUGUGCGUGCAUGGAUUUUCAUGGGGUGAUGAAUGAGUUGAAACAAAAUCACAGUGCUGAGUUAGCUUGUCUCCUCUUAUGGGAAGACAUUAUCCUUCCCUCUGUGUGUGUGUGUGUGUGUGCAGCUUCAUUUGUGUGUGUUUUCUGCUUCUGCAAACAAUCUCCUGCAGGGAGGGAGGGAGGGAGCAUCUAAGCGCCAGUGCUCUUUCUUCAUUUGUUUAUGCCUUGUGAAUGCAAAGCCCAUCCGACCUCGUGCGCACGACACUGACUUGCCCAAACUCAACAGCCUUGUUAUGAAACCCCUCUGGGUUCUAUCACAUAAGGCGAGCUGUACAUCGCUCGGGUCUAACCAUGCCUUAUUUAUGCGCCACCUCGGGCUUGCUGUCAGCCUAGGCAGUCCUCCCCCCCCCUAUGUAUCCACACUGUGCGAAUCUUUACAGUAACACGCUUUAUCUAAAACAGCUCUGUUCCACCCAAAAGCUGUUCUGCUUUCUACAGAUCCCCCCUCUUUUUCUCCCAUCCUUACAUAAACAACCUGCCCUCCCCUUCUUUUUCCCUCAACCCCCUGGAUAGCACUUCAUUAAAACCAAAAGUUUCAGGCAAAUUCUUGGCACUGAAAUUAAUUCGCAAGCAAAAUUUAAUGAUGGAGACAAAUUUUAGGGGGGUGGAAGACUUUUUUUUUUUUUUUUUAUACUUAAUUUUUUUUUGCUCAAGCAGCUGAAAAGACUUUGGUCUCUUGUGGGUUUUUCAGAGAAGACUAUCAAAAAGACAUUUGUUUUAAACACAAGCAGCCAGAGUGUUAAAUUCCAGUGCAGCAUUGUCAGAUACAGCUGAUAAUUUUCUUUUGCUCAAUAGCUGUCUAAAAACAGCCAGACAAACUUUAAAAAAAACACAACAAACUCAAUAAAAAACUGCCCAUAUAGGACCACUUAACAUCCCUCUUAAGCCAGCAGAAUCAGCCCAAAUAGGAAAACUUCAAAACCCUUUUAAAUCACUGAAAACAAGUCCAAUUAGUGUCGCCUCAAAUAGUGAUCAACUCAUCCCAAUUUAUGACUACCUUAAAAAUGUCCAAGUAUUAUUACAGCCCACCUUAAAACAAGUCCCAAAGACCACCUUAAAUCUCACCUGACUCAAUGGAAACAAUUCCAAAUUGUGACCCCCUAAAAAAAGUCCCCAAGUCCCACGAAGGACCACCUUAAAAUCCUGUCAAACAUAUCAAAAACAGCCCCAAAAAGGACCACAAUUUAAACUUUCCAACUCAGUUAAAAACUAAAUUACAGCCACCUUGAAACCAAACAUGCCUACUGAAAACCAGCUAAUAUAGAGACCACCUUAAAACUAGGGCACGACCAACAUGGAUUUUUUUGGAGCAGAUGCCAAUACUGAUUAUUAGGGGGGAAAAAAUCUGAUUACCGAUUAAUUGGCUUAUUUUUUUAAAUUUUUAUGAAGUUCUAGAAAAUACAUUUAUACUGUAGAUAUCUACAGUAUACUACAUACUUUAUACUAUAUACUAUACUAGAUAUACUGUAGGCUACUGCUCUUUACGCUGCCUCCGAUCGGUGUCUCCGCGUCUUAACUCACAUUGCUCAUUUACGGUCCGGUCUCAUCUGAAAACAUGCAGCUGCCUCAGUAAGAGAAGUAGCUCGAUCACGUAAUGUGUACUGUUGUCUAUUCUACCGCUACUGGCACGGCUAACAGUGUAGCAAGGCUAAUAGCAGGUGGCUAACUCUAACUUUAGCUUGCAUAUCACACAGUGCUUCACCGUUAACUCGGUGUGACCGAGACCAGCACAGCGGGGAACAAUCUACUGAAAACCAGUUAAUAUAGUGACCACCUUAAAACCACCAAACACAUGAAAACUCUCCCAGCACGAGUCAAAUAAAGACCACAGUAGACCCUCUUAUCUUACUGAAAAUUAGCCUUAUUUAUGACCACCGUAAAAUUGCCAACCAAUUAAUAAUAGCCCAACUUAAAAACCUGUCCAACUCCUGGAACUCCAGCUCAAAUUUGACCACUAGAAAACCCAUAAAACUCAAUAAAAAAACCUGCCUAACUUAUGACAUUUACAACACCCAGCCUUAAUUAUGACCAACCUAUAAUGUGCUCAACUCAGGUGAUAAACAGCCCAAAAUAUGACCAACCUGCCGGAGCAAAUUGAAAUAAACCAGAAUUAUAACCACUGUGAAAAUGUUAUCCAGAUCAAUAAAAAAACAUUAAAAUAGGACUUAAAACUAAACUGGAUUCCAGCUCUGAAUUCUUAAAAGAACCUUCAUGUAUAUCUCUUCUGGAUUGAAAUAAAAACAGAAUAACGUCCUUUAUCCUUUUCUAAACUACGUGGGGUUUUAAAGCUACUAUAAGGGUAUUUUAGCUUGAUAUAAAAGAAUCUCUUGGGGACCUAGAACAGCAAAUAUUCUCAUAUGUGCUCACCGCCUUUAAGCUGACAAGUUGUCCUCUCUGCUUUUAACUACACCGUCACUUCUCCCCUCAGCUCCACCGCUAGUGUCACCUUGUCACAGCAGGUAGGCGCUGUGAUGUUAAAAUGAUGCACAGAACCUGCGUGGCUGCGAAAUAAAAGCAGAAAUCGCAGCGUAUCAUCCCUCUGAUACCGCUUCAAAAGAGUUGACUAAGUUUUCAAAAGUCUAAUUUUAGCCUGGCAUAAUAUUCUGAAAAUGUGUUUUGUUGUUGUGGUUAACUCGGCCAACUCCUGCAGAUUUACUGGGUUCUUUCCAGCUCACACAAACACACACACACACUCUUUCCCACCAUCUGUGACCGACGGGAGUGAUGUGCUGCGAUCAGCUCCCUGGUGUAAGGAGCACACGGGAGCGUACUGAGUAGCAAACUCUUCCCCCCCUUACACCUCCCCCUCGACUUUUUUGGAGCCUCUGGCUAGUGCGCCUCGAGUCGAUAAAUGAUCUUCAGGGCCGCAGUGUUCAUGGAUGACGCGAUCUUGCACGUAAACACACACGAAAGCAAGAACAUGAUUAAUGGAGGAGAUGAUAUGAUGAGAAAAGUACAACUGCAGCUCAUUUGGUGCAGUGGGAAAUACUUUGUGUACACUGUGGCCUUCUUAUCUGAUAUGGAAAUGCUUAUGUGAUGCAGAGUCAGGUUCACACAGGAGCCUAAAGUCUGCCUGAAGCCCUGCGAAGGACCAUAGUUUACACCAGUGGUUCUUUACUGGUCUCACUCUGGGACCCACAUUUCACGACCCACUUUUAUAGAAUUCAAACGUAGCAAAUUUAGUUUUUUAUAUUAAGAAAAAAAACCUUUAGAGACCCAAAUCUUUAACACAAAUACACCUGUUUUAUUGAGUAAAGUACAUUUCAGAGCACAUGAACUGAGGACGACAACAACUGGAGUUGCGUGUACAGAAAAUAUCAAAUAUCAAAUAAAUAUCAAAUUGCACAAAAUAAGCUAUUUUUUAAAAUAAAAGACAUGUCAAACAUCAGAUGCGCAUUAAAUAUUUUCUUUUUUGACCAGCUGUUUGUGACCCAUCCAGAACGUGUCCGCGACCCAUUUUUGGGUCGGGACCCACAUGUUGAGAACCACUGGUUUAAACUAUAACAACCAACUGGACAUAGGACAGUUGGACAUCUACCACUUUUUAGCAAACAUGGAUGUUUGAUGAUGUUAAGACAAAAAGUCGAAACAGCGUUACUGUCUCGCUAGCGUAUCUAUUUAAACCCACCUAAAACUUGCUAACGUUGUUAGCUGACAGGAGAUUUGUCCAACUUAAGAUUGUUAUUAAUUCAACACAUGAUAAUUAUUAAAAAAUCUGGAAAAAACAUGAAAUUUAUAAGGCUGUUAAUAAUUUUAAUACAACAGAUAGUUAGGGUAACAUUAAAAACAAAAGGAUUUAAGGGUAAAUUUCCACGUUAGCAUCACUAAGUUAUUGCCGUAGCAUCACAACUCAAUUUUUGCUAACCAUAGCAUCGCAUCUUUAUUAUUUCACAUCAAGAUUCAAAAUUUUAAAAAAGGAAACAUUUUUAAUAAAGUCUCUAUACUUUGUUGUAUCUUAGCUCUAGCAUAAGAUUUAAAAAACUAUAAAAUUAGCUGCUAGCUAACAGUUAGCAUUGACAUUUAAACUAUUUUCAUCCAGCAAAAAUAGUUGAUGCCUCUGCCUGUAAAUACAGAUUUCAUAAAAACACACAUGCACCUUUAUGUUUCAUAUUCUUGUAUAUUAUAAUAUAGAAAAGGUGAAGUCUUUGCUAGCUGUAGUGUUAGCCUAGAAGUGACUGAAUGCUAACAUUUGCUGUCAGAUCAUAACUAAGUUGCUUUAACCUGAAAUAUGACUUUUGUUUCUCCAGCGAGUUUUUUUUCUCCAGAGUGAUGUCUGGAGAAAACGGCUGUCUUGUGAAUACGUCCCAUUCUUCAUACAACUUUCAAGUCCUAUAAAGAUAAAAUUAAUCUGCGUUGUCUUUUUUUUUUUUUUUUCUGCAACAGCAGCACAACUAGCCGUGGCAGCUAGCCAGGUUAAAGCCAUUUUUCUUUCUGUUCCAAAACUGGUUUUAUAGUCCUGCGGCUCCCCUUCUCUGACAAACAAAUAUAGUAGAUAAUUACAGAAUCAAGUUCAGCUACAGUAAGCAGUUAUAAUAACCUGUCAUAAAACCUACCUCUUUAUAAAUGUGGGGCUUAGGGUCACAAUAACAGUCCUGUGUCUUUCAACUUCUCUCAAUGUGCUUGUUUAUGUGUGCAUUCACACUGCUUUGUUGGGAAACAGUGUGAACAUAUGGUACCACCAGCAUCGCUUUACUUCACACUUGGUUUAUCCUCAGCUUAUAGAAUCGUAACACUUAGGAUAACACUUCUGUGGGGAGAAAAACAAAACACACACACACACACUUCUAGAUUGAAUUAUGAGCUGUUGUAUUGCAUAACCUCGUACACUGUUGUUCUCUUCAUUCUUCAUAUAAGUUGUUUUUUUAUACUGUAGCAUUAGUCCUCUGUGUAAACUCCUUCCACUCAGUGCUGGGAAAAAAAUCAAGUUAAAUCUUUGUGAGCUUUGAUAUAAAAUCUCAGUACAUUUACAACUUGGCACACCUCGCCUGUGAGGAUAUUCGAACUGAAUCGUUUACUACGGACAUGAAUAACAUUUUUGUCCAAUCAGGACAAGCCGAUUAAAUCGGCCGAUUUUAGCCCAUUUGAGACUAAUCAGUAAUCGGCCAAAACUCGCAGAUUUUUACCAAUAUUUUCAGAAAUAAAAUGCGGAGAAUAAGAUUCGGUUUAACUUCGAAUAUGUUCUGUCAUUUGAAAAGUUCCCCGACUUAUCCUGUAGAUACCUCAUGACAAUCUUCAUCCACUAACUACCUCACAGCACAGCAGAGUGACGGAUCUGAAGCGGACAGCUCAGGGACGUACGGAGGAGAGUGGUCCGCCUCAACGGUAAAUAAACCAGUUCGUGAAAUACACAACAAGUCAACAAGUUUCAGUUCAACCCACUUCACGAUGUUCCCCACUGUGCUGGUCUCUGUCACACCAAGUUAACGGUGAAGCACCAUGUGAUAUGCAAGCUAAAGUUAGAGUUAACCACCUGCUAUUAGCCUUGCUACACUGUUAGCCGAGCCACUAACGGUAGAAUAAACAACAGUACACAUUACGUGAUCGAGCUACUUCUCUAAAGCACCGAUCAGUCAGUCUUCCUGUCGGCGUUAAGAGCAGUAGCCUACAGUACAUCUGUACCGUAGAUAUCUACAGUAUAUGUAUAUUUUUUUAAAACUUUAUUCUACUAGAUUAAUCGGUAAUCAGAUUAUUUUCCCUCCCUAAUACCAUAUUUUUCGCACUAUAAGGCACACUGAAAAUCCUUUUGGCUUGUUGGAGCAUUGCAGCUACCGUAUCCUCGCGGAGUUACUGAAUGAGUUAAAUAAAGUGUGACUUAUCCGACUGUUCUGUUUGGCUUAAUGCGCUUCAUAAUCCGGUGUGCCUUUUGUAUGAAAAUAGACGUGAAUAGACGCGUUCAUUGAUGGUGCGCCUUAUAAUCAGGUGCGCCUUACAGUGCGAAAAAUACGGUAAUCGGUAUCGGCCCCCAAAAAUCCAUAUUGGUUGGGCCCUACUUUGCACACCUCCCCUGUGAGGAUAUUUGAACUUAAUCGUUCACUACGAACAUGAGUAACAUUUUGUGCAAUCAGGACCACCCCUUGCAUGCUCACAGGACAAAAAAAAAUCCAUGGUCCAAAGUCCGAAGGUCACUAAGGACUUGGUGUCAGAAGUCCUGAGUUGUUUCAUUCAUCUGAAAGAGCGAGGCCGAAGGUGAAUCCGAUUUAAAUAAAUUACAAUCCCCUGCUACAUUGUAUGUCCUUUCAGGUGAGCAGAAUAAGGUUAAAUAUCCUGCAGUACAGGCACGGAGGGAACAUCACUCAGCAGAGGUGACAUAUCUAUCCUGGUGUAAGUGGUUUUGGGUUGAGAAUUGGUCGAGGGGUGUAAUAACAUCAUAUUUCAUCGUAUUGAGCGGUCUUUCAGCUCUGUGUUGUGAUGAAACCCACGAAUAGUGAGACAUCUUUUGAAAAAUGUGCCGUGGCCAAUUUUUUUUUUUUGCUCUUAUUCGGAUGCAAUUUUCUUUUUUUAAUUGAGUUUUUAAUUUUUUUUUUUUGGCAAAGAGGUCACCCGAGAGUUACGCCUUUCAGGUCUCUAGCGAGGGGGGGGAAUACAGCUUAAUUGAGUUAAAAAGGUGAAUAAAAACUUGAAGCAAUAAUUAGUCAAGAGAACACAACAAAGCAUAGAAGGAGGAUGGAGCUUAUUGUUUAAUUUAUAGGGAGUCCGAGAUUUAGUGGAGGCACUUGAGAAUUCCUAUUCGUCUACUAUCUUUCUCAUUAAAUUAGCACUUAAUUAAGACUCAUCUAGCUCCUUUCCUGACAUGUUCAGGCUUUCUCUUCUUUCCUCUAUGCAACUCUUGUGAUAAAACACAAAAGUUAAAACUUACAGCGUAAGCACUAUAGAGCUCCCCCACCUCCCUUGCUUUUGCUCCCGAGCCUCCCGCAGACAGCUUUACCCCAGGGCCAGCUAACGAACGGCCUGCCCAAUGAACCAAAACGGCUAAAUGACUUGUUGUUCCGGCGCCGCGCAUCAAAGCCAGGUGCAUUUAUGGCACUGCAGACGACGGGGGUUGAAGAAAUCCGAAGGAAUGCUGCUUGUUAGUGUCAGUGUGUCAACUCGGCUGUGAAAAAAAACGAGAGGGGAAAUGUAUCAGGGCAGGAGGAUCAAGGUAAUAAAAUCAAACCGGAACUAAGGUAGGUCGUGGGGGAGGAAUGAUAGGGAUGGCGGCGCGGCCCCAGUGGGUGGCAAUCUUGGGUUUGCUAGACUUAAGGUUUUUAUUGCCGUUUUAUUGAUGUUGAGGUAAAUGUCAGGUUGCGGCAAAGAGGUGGCAUUAUUUCAGUAUCAAUAUGGGAUGAAGUUAAAGAAGAUGGAGAGAAAAGAGGAGGAGUAGAUCCAGAGGUAGAGUGAUGUGGCGUGAUAAUACACUGGACAAAAACAACCGGUAUCCGGAAAGAUCUAAGAAGUUCGGAUUGAUUUGUCACAUAAUAACUUCAGAGAUAUCACUCUGAGAUUACAUCUGAUAAAGGUUUUGUCUGCGUAGGAUUUCUGUUAUGUAGCAUAUUGAAUUUAUGUGUCACAAAGGAAGCAGACCAAGCAGACUGGUCUCAUUUAGCAUUUCCAGGAAGCAGCACAGAGCAGGAAAUAUGAAGAAUGUUAUCUGAGAUAUUUGAAGUGAUUUACAAUGCUGGCUUGGGAGGAAUUCAGCUUUCAAAUCUGGGGUUGUGUUAUUCUAAAGUGACACAUUUUGCAGACUCCAAUUAACAAAGAUAAAUUGAGAUAACAUGUUUAAAAGUAAAGCAUGUUAAAUUUCAGUACAGUCUUCUUGAACUUCAAAGCUCCUGAGUUAUUUUCAUGUCGAUAAAAAUAGACUGAAAUUCAUUUAUAUUCCUUUGCAUGACAUCUAAAAGCAAAAAAGAGCAUCAGUGACAAGAUUGAUGAUUUUUAUAUAAUGAUUUUUGAUGGUUGAAGUUGGAGUUAGAGAGUAGGCAUCAGUUCAGUUUCCACAUGCAGUGAUAGAUACUUUUGAUUAGGGCCUGACCAAUUUAUUGGCGAACUGAUUAAAUCGGCCAAUUUUAGCCCAUUUGAGACAAAUCAGUAAUCGGCCAAAACUUGCCGAUUUUUGCAGAUACAGUAUUUUCAUAGAUAAAAUGCGGAGAAUAGGAUUUGGUUUCACUUUGAAAAUGUUCCGCCAUUUGAAAAGUUCCACAACUUAUCAUGUAGAUGGCGCAGUGAGUUAACGGAUCACCAUGUAAUAUGCAAGCUAAAGUUAGAGUUAGCCACCUGCUAUUAGCCUUGCUAAACUGUUAGCCGCGCCAGUAACGGUAGAAUAAACAACAGUACACAUUACGUGAUCGAGCUACUUCUCUUACUGAGGCAGCUGCAUGUCUCCAGAUGAGACCGGACCGGAAAUGAGUAACAUGAGUUAAGACGCGGAGGCACCAAUCAGCAGCGGGGGAGGUUGGGGUUGUUGAAAACGCUUUUCUGGUCCGAGUUUAAUUCAUGAUAAAUACGUGGAAUAUCACUGAGAUCAACGUCGGUCUUCCUGUCGGUGUAAAGAGCAGUAGCCUACAGUAUAUCGAGUGUUGCUCAUUUUUUUAUGAUGUACGUGAGUUCGCUUUAUUUUUAUUCAUUUAUAUAGGCUAUGUAUUUUAGAGAAUGACGAGUGUGUGAGUUUGACAAGACAGAGGUUGACAAAAUAAUCAGACUCACACCCGCUACAGUCUGAAUUAUGAGCUGAAAAGAAUUAGUUUAUCAUCUUUAUUACAGUUAAAAUAAAUAGCCAGAGGUGAAGUGUACGUCAUAUUAUGAAAACACAACUAAAGAAAAUGCUUAAUGUAGACUAUGAGUUUGAAAAUGGCCCAUAUAUAACUAGACAGAUUCUUUUCAACAAUGCGUAUUAAAUGAAUACUUGCUGUUCUCACUUUUUUUCUUUUUGUUGUUGUUUUUACAGAUGUCAAAAGAAAGCGAGCGUAGCAAGGUGUGGGACCACUUCACCUCGAGCAAAAGAGUUGGAAGUUAACUGUUUGCCUCAUUCUUUUUCAGUUAUUUUAGCAAUUAAGAGGAUUUUAAAUAAGUUUUCUGCCUUUAAUUCUUUGAAGAAGUGUUUGAAAAGCUCAAGAGCAGCCACUUGUAGAUAAAUUACUUAAAUUAACAAAAUUUUAAAAAAUCGGCCAAUUAAUCGGUAAUCGGAUUCCCUCCCCCCCAUAUAUAUAUUUUUUAAAUGUUUCUUAAAGGAGCUUUAAUGUUCAAAUAUUUACAGACAGAGAUCCAACCUCGAGUCUCAAGAACCGUCUUUAAACCCUUUAAUUAUUCAAUCACACCAAGAUCCUGCACAGAGCCCUAUUAUGUCCAUUCAUUCCAGUGAUAAUGGUCUGAUUAUUUCAUGGCUGUCUGCCUAAACAUGCAGUCGGGAAGCCAAUUAAACUAACGCCUGGGCAGUUUGAGUCCCCGGUAAACAUUCGGUAACAUGAGCCUGAACAUUUCUCUUCAGAGUGAAGUCAACAGAAGCCUCAUCAGGCCGACCGUAUCGCCAGCUGCUACAAUCAAUCCUUCCCAGUUAACACCCAUGGCUGUGCAUAAUGAAAUAAUUAUAAAUAGAAGGGGAGACUAUCUUGUUGAUUUGCAGAAUUUCAAUCUCAUUUUCAAAAGGAGAUUAGCUUUGUCAGUCGCAAACCAAGGCCCAUACCAGCUCCAUUACACAAAAGUACAGAAAAAAGGAUUUUAAUUAAUUCCAAAGAUUAGUUAUGAUCUCUGAGAUUGCAUUUGUUAAUGGAGUCAUGGCACUGUGGCAGCCGGCUGCUGCUCCGCUCAAGUCCCCGUCUUUGUGCUGUGUACAAUUGCUUGAUACAAUCGUUUUUGAAUAGAACGCAGAAAAUAUUGUCAUCCAUACCAAGUGGGGAAAUUGACUUGAUUGAAAUGCCUGAUUUCAUUCACGGGAUCUGUAAACUAAUUUGAGGUCGCCGGCUCGGAAAGCACAAGUAGUCUGAAUAAUUUCAAAGGUGCUAUGAUCACAUGAGGACUCGUAUUUCAAAACUUCUACAUCUGAAGAAGUUGAAGCUGUACCAGUUAAACGAUGGUUCCCAUUUCAACCAGUAUGUAAUAAGAUUCAAAGCUUCAUUGGCAUAGCUGAGGCUGUUAAAGAAAUUUACUCAAAAUCGAAAAAUAAUUGAUUCAAUCCAAUCCAUGAUUUCCAAAACGAAUGUCCAAUUUGUCACACCACAGGCCAGUCUGCUUAAGAUGUAAAGUUAGAGUAGAAGCUUAAAACUCAUGUAUGCGCUACAGCAACAUACUGUAGAUCUUAGUGUUUACCUGUUUUUAACAUACUAAUUAGCCUAUCUUCAUGCGCUAUAUGGGUCUCAAAUUGGCUUCAUGUUAUGAAGGAUCCAGAGGAAACAAGUCAUGCGUUUAAUCCACUGUAAAUCCAUUUAACGGUUACCAGCCUCUAUGUUGGCUGUUUACUAUCUUAACAGCUUAUCAGGGGGCUGUGUUAACGAACUGCUAAAGCAAACACAUCACGGCACCAGUGCUGUUUAACAAGGCAAGUGUUGACCUUCUGCGAACACGUGCUUGGUGCCAAAGACUUUAGACGCUCAAAAAAGCAGUGCACAAAUACAACACAUUGGGUACUCAUAUGUACCAGCAGUGUUUCCCCUACAUUCAUUAAGCGGCGGCGCACCACAACUGCUAAAUUACGUGCGCCGCUACUGAAAUUUCACAUGAUCAUUAAUAUCAACGCGCCACUAAUGAUUCUAAUCGCACUGUGUGAGCACAACAACACACAACGUUAUUUCCGGCUUGUUAUGAGUCAUCAACUAGCGCAUCAAAUCCUGUCGGACCCUCUUCCACUAAUGUGAAGGGUAACGUUUAAGCUUAUACACGGUCUGUAUAGCGAGUAGCGCAGGUAACGUAACGUGAAUGUAACAGCGUAGCUCCAGGAGAGGCAAGAGAGUGGGGAUAACGACCCCCCUCACACACACACACACCGCCGCUGAAAAAAAUUCUAGGGGAAACACUGCAGGCAUAAGAAAAACACAGCAAUAUCGUGAUUUUCCCAAAUGCCAUCAAUAACUAAAAGAUAUUGACUGAUAGUAAAAGCUUUUUUGUAUAUACACCACAAAAAAAAAGACGCUUCUUUAACAGAAUCCUGCCUACCCCACCUUUAAAGGAGAAGUGGUUUGCAUGAUUUGCAAAGCGUCAUUUUACCUUCAACUUUUUAGGAAUUGGGAUUUGAAGAGUGAGAGGUCUGUGGGCACUUAGCAGACAGGUGAACAAAAGCAGGUCAGGAACAACAAAGGACUCUUUGCUGUAUGAUUUAAAUUGAAUAGACAAGUCUGAUAGUCAAAAAAUAUUUAAAAAAAGACCUUUUUCAUUUCCUCAUUUCAAUCUUCCAGCUGUAUUGUAGACAGUUUUUACCCUAUUUUCCUUGCUGCUUUUGUCCACCUGAUGACAAUCUUCAUAAAACCAACAAUUGUUUUGUGUUUCUCUUUCUUGUUCAUUUCCCUAUGAAGAUCCACGCCACUAUUACAUCCUCGUCUCUCUCCCGGCGCCAUUGUGGCUGUCCUGAAUUCAUCAAUUCAGCCGCCCUCCACACAAACCCGUGCAAAGCCUUUGUUGUACAGCACAUCCGCCGCUUUGUUGAGGGGAAAUGUCCGGUGACUAUUGUGAUGAAAGGCAUUUGAUUUUUUUACAGCAGCUUUUAUGUAAAAUGGCAGGAAGGUACAAGCCACGUCCAUGUACCGAACAAACACUGGACGGGAAAAAAUCAUGUCAAAGGACAAAUCCCCUGGAGCUUUGACAGUUUGAUAGGUGUUUUUAUCAGUGAGCUGUGAUAUGUUCGCAAUUAUUCAUCAGAACUGCCGCCAGUGUGCUCAUUUAAACAGGCUUCACAGCUGUCAAAUUGCAAAGUUUGAUUAACAACUGUCCAACAAAAUUGAGGUUUUCCCUCGUGUGCUGUUAGACAAACUUAGAGCAGUUUGGAAGGCAAACGCUGUCUCCAAAUUAGAAACAAAUGAGCAUUAAUGAAUGCAAAAUCCUUGUUGAGAUUCCGGAGGCAUGUUUUCACUUUGAGAAACAAACAAAUGUACACCCGCAGUUCGAUGGAUCACAUGUCUGAAGAACGCAGGACAAGGAUGUGAGAGCGAACAGAUGAGUCUUGGAGCUUGUGUGUCCCUGCAUGCCUCCCUCCGAGGGAGCUUCAGAGUGCUUUAUCUGUCAUCUUAAGGACAGAAACAAAGGCUGCACAGACUGCAAACAACAGUCACAGUCAGGACGCUCAAACACGGACAUGAGCAGACGGUGUGUGUUCAGGGGUUUGGGGAUGUUACCACCCUUUAUUGUUUUAGAGUUUCCAGCGGAUGUGAAACUGUCGCAGAAGAUAGGCGGACACGUCAUUCAAAUUUGAGUUGUGAAGUCAUGCCAUCGACUAUCUCCUGCGCCUGGAUCCUAAUUCUAUUCAAGCUACACCUCACUAUAUUUUAGAAGUACCUCUAACAGUUGGGUUGAAGGUUACGAACGUAAUUUGCUAAUCCAGAACGGUGAUCUGCAUUUUAAUUAUAGACUGAGAAUGGAUGCUGUCUGCCACCUCGAGAGCAGCACCCUCUGGUGACGGGCUGCAGUAUAGGUCAUAGGUCCUUACACACCAGGGCCGACGCGAAUAUAGAACGCAAAAUAUGAAAUAUUUAGAGGUCAAUUUUGACGGGCCUGACUAUACACGUCAAGCCCGAUGCAAUUUUGCGAUUUUCCAGGGGGUAAAAGUCCCGCCUCCUUCGCCUCUGAUUUGCUAGAAAAGCUGGAAACAUCAUCUCACGCUCAAGCCAAACGGUCAGCACUUAUGGCCAAUCAGAGGCGAUAAGAUAAACACAUGAAACUAUGGUAACAACCGUUAGCUUACGUGAGCACAGAUGAAACCUAAAACAAAGACGUUUAGCAAACUGUUAAAGCACACAAAACAUCGUCGUAUAAGAGAUCCGACACUAUGUUGUCCUUCAGGUCGUUAUCUUCGUAAUGUUUGUGUUUAUCAAAAAGAGAUCUGUUCUACACGUAAACAAUAAGCCGGUCAGCCAUGUUGGAUAUAUAGGUGAAUCUGACGUUGCAACGACACAAAAUCUUAUUUGUCAGAAGUGGACACACAGUAUGCGAAACUUUGGAAAAAAUCGACCAUGAUCUGACAAAACAAAUGCUGCAAUAUCACAGGAUGGGAAAACGUCGCUGAUAUGACUGCUACAAAAAAUACUGACAUCCAAAAUAAUCGCACGACAAAAACAGUCCUCUUUUUUCUGUACAGCUCAAUUUUUAAAAGUUAUUCGGGGAUUCAUGUUUUCUAUGAUUGACACUUGAUACAUCUGUUUGAGGCAAGCGUCAUCUCGGCAACUCUCCUGCCGAUUGCGUACAACGCUACUGCGCAAUGUUGGUUUCAGGAAGUGGAAAAAAUAUGAAGAAUUACCAAGUGCUUUUCGGCUUAAAAUCCUUACAGUGGCGGAAGGCGGAACCAAGUUGUCCAUAGUCACUGACCCAUGAUGCAAACCCUUAUUUGUCACUGACCAGAUAUUGAUACGUUUAAGUGUUUGUCUUUUAAGAAAUUGUGCUUUCCAGCUUUUAUACAAGUGAGAGGUUUGAUUGUUAUUGACCAAGAAAUUUUUCAACAAAGCCGUUGUCCAAUAUCCUUUUUAGGGCCCGAGCGUAGCUGCUAAGCAGCUGCGAGAGCCCUCUUGUUCCUGAUGGAUUCUUCUUUUGUUAUUAUUAGGGCCCGAGCCAGCUGCAGAGCAGCCGGGCGUAGAGCCCUAUUAUUCCUGAUGAGUUUUUCUUUCUUCUUUCUUUCUUUAGGGCCCGAGCGUAGCUGCUAAGCAGCUGCGAGAGCCCUAUUAUUCCUGAUGGAUUCUUCUUUCUUUAGGGCCCGAGCGUAGCUGCUAAGCAGCUGCGAGAGCCCUCUUGUUCCUGAUGGAUUCUUCUUUUUAGGGCCCGAGCGUAGCUGCUAAGCAGCUGCGAGAGCCCUCUUGUUCCUGAUGGAUUCUUCUUUCGUUAUUUUUCCUCCGCUUUAAACUGGAAAAUGGCCCACUUCCCACUGGUGAAAACUCAUGAAAUUUGGCAGGAAGACCGGGCCUGGUGAAAAAUUCGAUAUUCUGAAGUCGCCCAAACAAAAAAAUGAAAAAUGGCUCCAUAGCGCCCCCUAUGGUGAAAAUUCACCUAACGCCUGUACGCUUUGUCAAAAUGACACAAAAUUUGACACACAUGUGUAUCUCAAUAAGACCUACAAAAAAGUCAGUGCGGGCGUAUCUGUCAAAUGUACCGUUAAAGGGCUAUUUCGCAUUUUUUGCCGAUCCGCACACAUUGGAAUUUCGCUAACUCCUCCGAAGGCUUUCGUUCCACCGGCACCAAAUUUGCUCAGGCCAAUCUACACCCCAUGGCCAUUAAAAGUUGUACAAAUCAUGACGCUGCACCCCACGGUUUACGUUCUAGGGGGCGCCAAAGAUAACCCAAAAAUCCACAUUCUUAAAAGUCUUAUAACUUUUUAUUUUUGUCCUCACUGGCCUCCAAGUUUUCUAGGAUGAUGCAAUGUCCAGCCAUCAACACAUUUGUGAAGGAAUUUUUACUCCCCAAAAGAGCGCCCCCCCAUGGCAGGUGAAAAAAGUCAAUUUUUUCUUGUCCCCUUACAUGAAAAUACACAUUGUUGAGUGUCACGCCUGAACGCUUUGUCAUAUUGACACAAAAAUUGACAAUCAUGUGUAUCUCAAUUAGAUCUACGAAAAAGUCAAUGCGCGCGUAUCUGUAUAAUGUACGGUUAAAGGGCUAUUUCGCAUUUUUUGCCGAUUCGCACACAUUGGAAUGUGGCUAUCUCCUCCUAAGGCUUUCGUCCCACCGAUACCAAAUUUGCUCAGGGCAAUCUACACCCCAUGCCCAUUCAAAGUUGUAAAAAUCAUGACGCUGCACCCCACGGUUUACAUUCUAGGGGGCGCCAAAGAUGACCCAAAAAUCCACAUUCUUAAAAGUCAUUUUGGCCACUGCAGGAGUACAGAGUACUGCAGUUCUAGGGGGCGCCAAAGAUGACCCAAAAAUCCACAUUCUUAAAAGUCUUUUUGGCCACUGCAGGAGUACAGAGUACUGCAGGAUACACACACAUACACACACACACACACACACACACACACACACACACACACACACACACACACACACACACACACACACACACACUCAGAGUCUGUUUUUUAGCACCUGCAAAAACAUGCUGUUUACAUAUUUGACAAGAAUGCAGAGGCUUCCUUUUGCCCCUGAAAAAAAUCAGAUUUCAAACACAACUUGACUGUUCAUUUCUCCAAAAGACAACCAUGAAGCUCCAUCCAAACCUGAAGCAGAUAGUUGGUGCAUGUGUACAGUAACCUGAGGGGAGUGAGGUGACUAUUUCUGAGGAGAACAUGAGCAGUGAAGAUUCACCUUGGAGCUAGAACAGGGACGUGCACAUGAUUAUACAGGGGCAGGGGCUCAAGUUUUUUCCAGUCAUUUAUACAAUAUGGAAAUUAAUGUGAAAUUAAAAAACAAAGUAUUAAUAGAAAGGUAAUGACUGUCCUGUGUAGAUGACAGUGAUAUCCAAUAGGCUAGGCACUCACGAGGCUGGCUGUGGCAAGUGUAAGUGAAAGCAACACGCACUGGCAGGAAGAACAGCAAACGCCGAUGAAGGAAAAGGGUCUUUGCAGUGAUGGGCGUUACCAGAGCGGGCGAUGGCCAGAGGACACGAAUGGGACGGGGAGGCAGCGCGUUGGGGGGAGGCAGCGCGUUGGGGGGGGGGGGGGGGGGGGGGGCGGCGCGACACGGCUCGGGCCCGCCAGUGCCCCAACGGGGUCCUAGUGUUAUUAUUAUUAUUAGGGCCCGAGCGUAGCUGCUAAGCAGCUGCGAGAGCCCUCUUGUUCCUGAUGGAUUCUUCUUUCGUUAUUUUUCCUCCGCUUUAAACUGGAAAAUGGCCCACUUCCCACUGGCGAAAACUCAGGAAAUUUGGCAGGACGACCGGGCCUGGUGAAAAAUUUGAUAUUCUGAAGUCGCCCAAACAAAAAAAUGAAAAAUGGCUCCAUAGCGCCCCCUAUGGUGAAAACUCACCUGACGCCUGUACGCUUUGUCAAAAUGACACAAAAUUUGACACACAUGUGUAUCUCAAUAAGAUCUACAAAAAAGUCAGUGCGGGCGUAUCUGUCAAAUGUACGGUUAAAGGGCUAUUUCGCAUUUUUUGCCGAUCCGCACACAUUAGAAUUUCGCUAACUCCUCCGAAGGCUUUCGUUCCACCGGCACCAAAUUUGCUCAGGCCAAUCUACACCCCAUGGCCAUUAAAAGUUGUACAAAUCAUGAUGCUGCACCCCACGGUUUACGUUCUAGGGGGCGCCAAAAAUAACCCAAAAAUCCACAUUCUUAAAAGUCUUAUAACUUUUUAUUUUUGUCCUCACUGGCCUCCAAGUUUUCUAGGAUGAUGCAAUGUCCAGCCAUCAACACAUUUGUGAAGGAAUUUUUACUCGCCAAAAGAGCGCCCCCCCAUGGCAGGAGAAAAAAGUCCAUUUUUUCUAGUCCCCUAAGGCGAAAAUACACAUUGUUGAAUGUCACGCCUGUACGCUUUGUCAAAUUGACACACACAUGUAUCUCAAUAAGAUCUACAAAAAAGUCAGUGCGGGCGUAUCUGUCAAAUGUACGGUUAAAGGGUUAUUUCGCAUUUUUUGCCGAUCCGCACACAUUGAAAUUUCGCUAACUCCUCCGAAGGCUUUCGUUCCACCGGCACCACAUUUGCUCAGGCCAAUCUACACCCCAUGGCCAUCGAAAGUUGUACAAAUCAUGACGCUGCACCCCACGGUUUAGGUUCUAGGGGGCGCCAAAGAUAACCAAAAAAUCCACAUUCUUAAAAGUCUUAUAACUUUUUAUUUUUUUCCUCACUGGCCUCCAAGCUCUCUAGGAUGAUGCAAUGUCCAGCCAUCAACAUAUUUGUGAAGGAAUUUUUACUCCCCAAAAGAGCGCCCCCACAUGGCAGGAGAAAAAAGUCCAUUUUUUCUUGUCCCCUAAGGUGAAAAUACACAUUGUUGACUGUCACGCCUGUACGCUUUGUCAUAUUGACACAAAAAUUGACACACACAUGUAUCUCAAUAAGAUCUACGAAAAAGUCAAUGGGCACGUAUCUGUAAAAUGUACGGUUAAAGGGCUAUUUUGCAUUUUUUGCUGAUUCGCACACAUUGGUAUGUGGCUAACUCGUCCUACAGCUUUCGUCCCACUGACACCAAAUUUGCUCAGGCCAAUCUACACCCCAUGGCCAUUCAAAGUUGUAAAAAUCAUGACGCUGCACCCCACGGUUUACGUUCUAGGGGGCGCCAAAGAUGACCCAAAUAUCCAUAUAGAGCGCCCCCCCAUCGCAGGAGAAAAGAGUCCAUUUUUUCUUGUCCCCUAAGGUGAAAAAACACAUUGUUGACUGUCACGCCUAUACGCUUUGUCAAAAUCACACAAAAUUUGACACACACGUGUAUCUCAAUAAGAUCUACGAAAAAGUCGAUGGGCACAUAUCUGUAAAAUGUACGGUUAAAGGGCUAUUUCGCAUUUUUUGCCGAUUCGCACACAUUGGAAUGUGGCUAACUCCUCCUAAGGCUUUCGUCCCACCGACACCAAAUUUGCUCAAGCCGAUCUACAUCCCAUGGCCAUUCAAAGUUGUAGAAAUCAUGACGCUGCUCCCCACGGUUUACGUUCUAGGGGGCGCCAAAGAUGACCCAAAUAUCCACAUUCUUAAAAGAAUCCACAUCGCCCCCCCCCCCCCCCGCCCCCAAGGCAGGAGAAAAAGUCAAGUUAACCCUGCCCAUCGGUCAAUGGCUCAAUCGCAUCGCUCUCCCAGCAACACCGUAAGGAGGAGCAACUUGCCAUUUGGAUAUAUCCUAGCUGUGUUUGUGCCCUCACUCAUGGUCCAGACUUUUUUCAAAUAGGACAUGUAGUUUGUCUGCAGCGACCGUUUUGGUAGAAACUGCGCCUCCCAUUCAUUAUAAUGGGAAAUGACCACAGACAACUGCGCACACCAUCUUUGGACCUUGAGUGUGACGCGAUUGGGAGGGGGAGGCGGUCGCGCUGGGGGCGGCGCGACGCGGCUCGGGCCCGACAGUGCCCCACCGGGGCCCUAGUUAUUAUUUUUCCUCCGCUUUAAACUGGAAAAUGGCCCACUUCCCACUGGCGAAAACUCAUGAAAUUUGGCAGGACGACCGGGCCUGGUGAAAAAUUCGAUAUUCUGAAGUCGCCCAAACAAUAAAAUGCAAAAUGGCUCCAUAGCGCCCCCUAAGGUGAAAAUUCACACUAUUGACUGUCACAUCUGUACGUUUUGUCAUAUUGACACAAAAAUUGACACACAUAUGUAUCUCAAUAAGAUCUACAAAAAAGUCAGUGCGGGCGUAUCUGUCAAAUGUACGGUUAAAGGGUUAUUUCGCAUUUUUUGCCGAUCCGCACACAUUGGAAUUUCGCUAACUCCUCCGAAGGCUUUCGUUCCACCGGCACCACAUUUGCUCAGGCCAAUCUACACCCCAUGGCCAUUCAAAGUUGUACAAAUCAUGACGCUGCACCCCACGGUUUAGGUUCUAGGGGGCGCCAAAGAUAACCCAAAAAUCCACAUUCUUAAAAGUCUUAUAACUUUUUAUUUUUGUCCUCACUGCCCUCCAAGUUUUCUAGGAUGAUGCAAUGUCCAGCCAUCAACACAUUUGUGAAGGAAUUUUUACUCCCCAAAAGAGCGCCCCCCCAUGGCAGGAGAAAAAAGUCCAUUUUUUCUUGUCCCCUAAGGUGAAAAUACACAUUGUUGAGUGUCACGCCUGAACGCUUUGUCAUAUUGACACAAAAAUUGACAAUCAUGUGUAUCUCAAUUAGAUCUACGAAAAAGUCAAAGAGCGCGUAUCUGUAUAAUGUACGGUUAAAGGGCUAUUUCGCAUUUUUUGCCGAUUCGCACACAUUGGAAUGUGGCUAUCUCCUCCUAAGGCUUUCGUCCCACUGAUACCAAAUUUGCUCAGGGCAAUCUACACCCCAUGCCCAUUCAAAGUUGUAAAAAUCAUGACGCUGCACCCCACGGUUUACGUUCUAGGGGGCGCCAAAGAUGACCCAAAAAUCCACAUUCUUAAAAGUCAUUUUGGCCACUGCAGGAGUACAGAGUACUGCAGUUCUAGGGGGCGCCAAAGAUGACCCAAAAAUCCACAUUCUUAAAAGUCAUUUUGGCCACUGCAGGAGUACAGAGUACUGCAGUUCUAGGGGGCGCCAAAGAUGACCCAAAAAUCCACAUUCUUUAAAAGUCUUUUUGGCCACUGCAGGAGUACAGAGUACUGCAGGAUACACACACAUAUACACACACGCCAACACACACACACACACACACUCAGAGUCUGUUUUUUAGCACCUGCAAAAACAUGCUGUUUACAUAUUUGACAAGAAUGCAGAGGCUUCCUUUUGCCCCUGAUAAAAAUCAAAUUUCAAACACAACUUGACUGUUCAUUUCUCCAAAAGACAACCAUGAAGCUCCAUCCAAACCUGAAGCAGAUAGUUGGUGCAUGUGUACAGUAACCUGAGGGGAGUGAGGUGACUAUUUCUGAGGAGAACAUGAGCAGUGAAGAUUCACCUUGGAGCUAGAACAGGGACGUGCACAUGAUUAUACAGGGGCAGGGGCUCAAGUUUUUUCCAGUCAUUUAUACAAUAUGGAAAUUAAUGUGAAAUUAAAAAACAAAGUAUUAAUAGAAAGGUUAUGACUGUCCUGUGUAGAUGACAGUGAUAUCCAAUAGGCUAGGCACUCACGAGGCUGGCUGUGGCAAGUGUAAGUGAAAGCAACACGCACUGGCAGGAAGAACAGCAAACGCCGAUGAAGGAAAGGGUCUUUGCAGUGAUGGGCGUUACCAGAGAGGACGAUGGCCAGAGGACGCGAAUGGGACGGGGAGGCAGCGCGUUGGGGGGGGCAGCGCGACACGGCUCGGGCCCGCCAGUGCCCCAACGGGGCCCUAGUCUUCUUCUUAUUAUUUUUCUGCCCCUUUGAACUGGAAAAUGGCCCACUUCCCACUGGUGAAAAGUCAUGAAAUUUGGCAGGACGACCGGGCCUGGUGAAAAAUUCGAUAUUCUGAAGUCGCCCAAAAAAUCAAAUGCAAAAUGGCUCCAUAGCGCCCCCUAAGGUGAAAAAUUCACAUGAUUGAGUGUCACGCCUGUACGCUUUGUCAAAAUGACACAAAAUUUGACACACACGUGUAUCUCAAUAAGAUCUACAAAAAAGUCAGUGCGGGCGUAUCUGUCAAAUGUACGGUUAAAGGGCUAUUUCGCAUUUUUUGCCGAUACGCACACAUUGGAAUUUCGCUAACUCCUCCGAAGGCUUUCGUUCCACCGGCACCAAAUUUGCUCAGGCCAAUCUACACCCCAUGGCCAUUAAAAGUUGUACAAAUCAUGACGCUGCACCCCACAGUCUACGUUCUAGGGGGCGCCAAAGAUAACCCAAAAAUCCACAGUCUUAAAAGUCUUAUAACUUUUUAUUUUUGUCCUCACUGGCCUCCAAGUUCUCUAGGAUGAUGCAAUGUCCAGCCAUCAACACAUUUGUGAAGGAAUUUUUACUCCCCAAAAGAGCGCCCCCCCAUGGCAGGAGAAAAAAGUCCAUUUUUUCUUGUCCCCUAAGGUGAAAAUACACAUUGUUGAGUGUCACGCCUAUACACUUUGUCAUAUUGACCCAAAAUUUGACAAUCACGUGUAUCUCAAUAAGAUCUACGAAAAAGUCAAUGGGCACGUAUCUGUAAAAUGUACGGUUAAAGGGUUAUUUCGCAUUUUUUCCCGAUCCGCACACAUUGGAAUUUCGCUAACUCCUCCUAAGGCUUUCGUUCCACCGCCACCAAAUUUGCUCAGGCCAAUCUACACCCCAUGGCCAUUAAAAGUUGUACAAAUCAUGACGCUGCACUCCACGGUUUAGGUUCUAGGGGGCGCCAAAGAUAACCCAAAAAUCCACAUUCUUAAUAGUCUUAUAACUUUUUAUUUUUGUCCUCACUGGCCUCCAAGUUUUCUAGGAUGAUGCAAUGUCCAGCCAUCAACACAUUUGUAAAGGAAUUUUAACUCCCGAAAAGAGCGCCCCCCCAUGGCAGGAGAAAAAAGUCCAUUUUUUCUUGUCCCCUAAGGUGAAAAAACACAUUGUUGACUGUCACGCCUAUACGCUUUGUCAAAAUGACACAAAAUUUGACACACACGUGUAUCUCAAUAAGAUCUACGAAAAAGUCAGUGCGGGCGUAUCUGUAAAAUGUACGGUUAAAGGGCUAUUUCGCAUUUUUUGCCGAUUCGCACACAUUGGAAUGUGGCUAACUCCUCCUAAGGCUUUCUUCCCACCGACACGAAAUUUGCUCAAGCCGAUCUACAUCCCAUGGCCAUUCAAAGUUGUAAAAAUCAUGGCGCUGCACCCCAUGGUUUACGUUCUAGGGGGCGCCAAAGAUGACCCAAAUAUCCACAUUCUUAAAAGAAUCCACAUCCCCCCCCCCAAGGCAGGAGAAAAAGUCCAGUUAACCCUGCCCAUCGCUCAAUGGCUCAAUCGCAUCGCUCUCCUGGCAACACCGUAAGGAGGAGCAACUUGCCAUUUGGAUAUAUCCUAGCUGUGUUUGUGCCCUCACUCAUGGUCCAGAAUUUUUUCAAAUAGGACAUGUAGUUUGUCUGCAGCGACCGUUUUGGUAGAAACUGCGCCUCCCAUUCAUUAUAAUGGGAAAUGACCACAGACAAGUGCGCACACCAUCUUUGGACCUUGAGUGUGAUGCGAUCGGGAGGGGGAGGCGGUCGCGCUGGGGGCGGCACAACAUGGCUCGGGCCCGCCAGUGCCCCACCGGGGCCCUAGUUAGGGCCCGAGCGUAGCUGCUAAGCAGCUGCGAGAGCCCUCUUGUUCCUGCAUGUUUCCUUCUUUCGUUAUUAUUUUUCCUCCGCUUUAAACUGGAAAAUGGCCCACUUCCCACUGGCGAAAACUCAGGAAAUUUGGCAGGACGACCGGGCCUGGUGAAAAAUUCGAUAUUCUGAAGUCGCCCAAACAAUAAAAUGCAAAAUGGCUCCAUAGCGCCCCCUAAGGUGAAAAUUCACAUGACGGCUGUACGCUUUGUCAUAUUGACACAAAAAUUGACACACACAUGUAUCUCAAUAAGAUCUACAAAAAAGUCCGUGCGGGCGUAUCUGUCAAAUGUACGGUUAAUGGGUUAUUUUGCAUUUUUUGCAGAUCUGCACACAUUGGAAUUUCGCUAACUCCUCUGAAGGCUUUCGUUCGACCGGCACCACAUUUGCGCAGGCCAAUCUACCCCCCAUGGCCAUUAAAAGUUGUACAAAUCAUGACGCUGCACCCCACGGUUUACGUUCUAGGGGGCGCCAAAGAUAACCCAAAAUCCACAUUCUUAAAAGUCUUAUAACUUUUUAUUUUUGUCCUCACUGCCCUCCAAGUUUUCUAGGAUGAUGCAAUGUCCAGCCAUCAACACAUUUGUGAAGGAAUUUUUACUCCCCAAAAGAGCGCCCCCCCCAUGGCAGGAGAAAAAAGUCAAUUUUUUCUUGUCCCCUUACAUGAAAAUACACAUUGUUGAGUGUCAUGCCUGAACGCUUUGUCAUAUUGACACAAAAAUUGACAAUCACGUGUAUCUCAAUUAGAUCUACGAAAAAGUCAAAAAGCGCGUAUCUGUAUAAUGUACGGUUAAAGGGCUAUUUCGCAUUUUUUGCCGAUUCGCACACAUUGGAAUGUGGCUAUCUCCUCCUAAGGCUUUCUUCCCACCGAUACCAAAUUUGCUCAGGGCAAUCUACACCCCAUGCCCAUUCAAAGUUGUAAAAAUCAUGACGCUGCACCCCACGGUUUACGUUCUAGGGGGCACCAAAGAUGACCCAAAAAUCCACAUUCUUAAAAGUCAUUUUGGCCACUGCAGGAGUACAGAGUACUGCAGUUCUAGGGGGCGCCAAAGAUGACCCAAAAAUCCACAUUCUUAAAAGUCUUUUUGGCCACUGCAGGAGUACAGAGUACUGCAGGAUACACACACAUACACACACACACACACACACACACACACACACACACACACACACACACACACACACAGACACACACACACACUCAGAGUCUGUUUUUUAGCACCUGCAAAAACAUGCUGUUUACAUAUUUGACAAGAAUGCAGAGGCUUCCUUUUGCCCCUGAAAAAAAUCAGAUUUCAAACACAACUUGACUGUUCAUUUCUCCAAAAGACAACCAUGAAGCUCCAUCCAAACCUGAAGCAGAUAGUUGGUGCAUGUGUACAGUAACCUGAGGGGAGUGAGGUGACUAUUUCUGAGGAGAACAUGAGCAGUGAAGAUUCACCUUGGAGCUAGAACAGGGACGUGCACAUGAUUAUACAGGGGCAGGGGCUCAAGUUUUUUCCAGUCAUUUAUACAAUAUGGAAAUUAAUGUGAAAUUAAAACACAAAUAUGUGUGAUGAACUGUUUUUAAAACUUAAACUUCAAAUAAAAAUUGUAAACUUCAAAACAUAUGCAAAUUUUUAACAAAGAACAUAGUAAUUUACCUCUAUUUACAUCAAAAUGCAGGCAAUGGCCCAGGCGUUCUUUGUAAAAUUAUUUACAAAACACUGUAUAGUCUCACAAAUGUCACUUUUUAUUUAUGCCACUACAAAAAAACAUGAUGUAAAUGAUGCAUGAUGUAAAACAUGAUGUAAAAAACUUGUGUAGAUCCUCCUCUAUGUCAGUCCAUGUGUAAUUUUUCCAUAAUUCUUUGUUUUUUGCAGCAUUUUUGUUAGUGUAACUGCAGAUUGUGCUGACAGUCUAUGGCAAAAAAAACAAAAACUGAAAAUGCCUCAACAUGAACCCCUGGUGGUCUCUGAGGGUGAAACCUGCUAACUGCUGCAGCUCUGUCAGCUUCAGUCUCCCAUGCAGAGCUCGGAGCGCAUGUGUGGCUCUGCACCCUUAGCAGCGUUGCUAACUCCUCAGUAAGGAAAGCCUGCUUCAUGUCAGAGUCUCUAAACUCCAGAAGAAGUCGAUAAAAGUCCCUUUCUUUCUAAAAAAAAGUCGUUAGGGGGUCUGAAAAGUAAUUGAAUCUAACAACAAAGUCGCUAGGUUUGCAACUACGUGUCCCAGACUGCAUCCCUGCUGAGAGUCCCUCCCUCCCUUCUCAUGUUGCAGGAAGAACGUAAGCGCCCGCCCCUUGUCAAUCAGUCACCAUAUAAUUUUGGAUUGGUUGUUGUGGUGAAGUUUUCCACCAAUAGGAGAGAUGUUGUGGUGUGUUUUUUUUUCUUUUGGCAAGCCUUUUCCGCCUGUAAGACCUGUCGCUAAUGUGUGCAUGCUAUGUUUUCCUGUCUCAUACAGCGCGAUCGAGCGCCGAACGUGAUCAAAAUAAGCAGAAAAAAAGUAUCGCGGACAUAAUUUAUCAUAACUCUGGUUUUAUUUGGCCUAUCAACACAAUUUAAAAACUGGUAUAUAGGUUGAGGUCCUCACUUUUGAGAUAAGUUGAAACGGAGAGUUAACGAGGCUCCGUCUUGCAGCUACAUCCGGUUAAAUAUGUCAUGUGACUUGAACGCUGGGGAGCGUCAAUCGAAUCGAAUCAAACCUAACUCUCAGAUGAAUCUUCAAAAUUCACCUCAGAAAUAUGCUUAUUAUUCUUCUCAGAGUACUGCAGGAUACACACACACACACACACAGACACACACACACACGCACACACACACACACACACACACACUCAGAGUCUGUUUUUUAGCACCUGCAAAAACAUGCUAUUUACAUAUUUGACAAGAAUGCAGAGGCUUCCUUUUGCCCCUGAAAAAAAUCAAAUUUCAAACACAACUUGACUGGUCAUUUCUCCAAAAGACAACCAUGAAGCUCCAUCCAAACCUGAAGCAGGCAGUUGGUGCAUGUGUACAGUAACCUGAGGGGAGUGAGGUGACUGCUUCUGAGGAGAACAUGAGCAGUGAAGAUUCACCUUGGAGCUAGAACAGGGACGUGCACAUGAUAAUACAGGGGCAGGGGCUCAAGUUUUUUCCAGUCGUUUAUACAAUAUGGAAAUUAAUGUGAAAUUAAAAAACAAAGUAUGACUGUCCUGUGUAGGUGACAGUGAUAUUCAAUAGGCUAGGCACUCACGAGGCUGGCUGUGGCAAGUGUAAGUGAAAGCAACACGCACUGGCAGGAAGAACAGCAAACGCCGAUGAAGGAAAAGGGUCUUUGCAGUGAUGGGCGUUACCAGAGAGGGCGAUGGCCAGAGGACACGAAUGGGACGGGGAGGCAGCGCGUUGGGGGGGGGGGGGGUGCGACACGGCUCGGGCCCGCCAGUGCCCCAACGGGGCCCUAGUUCUUUCUUUCUUUCUUCUUAUUUUUCCUCCCCUUUGAAGGGAAAAAUGGCCCACUUCCCACUGGCGAAAACUCAUGAAAUUUGGCAGGACGACCGGGCCUGGUGAAAAAUUCGAAAUUCUGAAGUCGCCCAAACAAUAAAAUGCAAAAUGGCUCCAUAGCGCCCCCUAAGGUGAAAAUUCACACUAUUGACUGUCACGCCUGUACGCUUUGUCAUAUUGACACAAAAAUUGACACACACAUGUAUCUCAAUAAGAUCUACAAAAAAGUCAGCGCGGGCGUAUCUGUCAAAUGUACGGUUAAAGGGUUAUUUCGCAUUUUUUGCCGAUCCGCACACAUUGGAAUUUCGCUAACUCCUCCGAAGGCUUUCGUUCCACCGGCACCACAUUUGCUCAGGCCAAUCUACACCCCAUGGCCAUUAAAAGUUGUACAAAUCAUGCCGCUGCACCCCACGGUUUAGGUUCUAGGGGGCGCCAAAGAUAACCCAAAAAUCCACAGUCUUAAAAGUCUUAUAACUUUUAAUUUUUGUCCUCACUGGCCUCCAAGUUCUCUAGGAUGAUGCAAUGUCCAGCCAUCAACACAUUUGUGAAGGAAUUUUUACUCGCCAAAAGAGCGCCCCCCCAUGGCAGGAGAAAAAAGUCAAUUUUUUCUUGUCCCCUAAGGCGAAAAUACACAUUGUUGAGUGUCACGCCUAUACGCUUUGUCAUAUUGACACAAAAUUUGACAAUCACGUGUAUCUCAAUAAGAUCUACGAAAAAGUUAAUGCGCGCGUAUCUGUAAAAUGUACGUUUAAAGGGCUAUUUCGCAUUUUUUGCCGAUUCGCACACAUUGGAAUGUGGCUAACUCCUCCUAAGGCUUUCGUUCCACUGACACCAAAUUUGCUCAGGCCAAUCUACACCCCAUGGCCAUUCAAAGUUGUAAAAAUCAUGACGCUGCACCCCACGGUUUACGUUCUAGGGGGCGCCAAAGAGGACCCAAAUAUCCACAUAUUUAAAAGUCUUAUAACUUUUUAUUUUUGUCCUCACUGGCCUCCAAGUUUUCUAGGAUGAUGCAAUGUCCAGCCAUCAACACAUUUGUGAAGGAAUUUUUUCUCCCCAAAAGAGCGCCCCCCCAUGGCCGGAGAAAAAGUCAAGUUUUUCCUGCCCAUCGCUCAAUGGCUCAAACGCAUCGCUCUCUCAGCAAAACCGAAAGGAGGAGCAACUUGCCAUUUGGAUAUAUCUUAGCUGUGUUUGUGCCCUCACUCAUGGUCCAGACUUUUUUCAAAAAGGACAUGGAGUUUGUCUGCAGCGAGCAUUUUGGUAGAAACUGUGCCUCCCAUUCAUUAUAAUGGUAAAUGACCACAGACAAGUGCGCACACCAUCUUUGAACCUUGAGUGUGACGCGAUCGGGAGGGGUAGGCGGUCGCGCUGGGGGCGGCGCGACACGGCUCGGGCCCGCCAGUGCCCCACCGGGGCCCUAGUUUUUUGUUGUUGUUUUUUAAUGCAUUUUAUGAGUUUGAUUGUCGAAGCUCUGUGUUUUGAAUGUGGUGAAAAAGUUCAAUCUGAAGGUUUUCAUCCACUUAGGUUGCUGGGGUUGUAAUGCCUGAGACUAUAGUUUAAUUUAUGUUCAAAGCAACUUAGACACUGGUUUCAUUGAUGGCUUUCUGGCUUUAUUUCGAGAGUAUACUUAUUGCAUAAUAUUCAUUAUAGGAAAAGCAUAAUAUUAAAAUCAAGACCAUAGACUUUUUGGGGCAAAUGACUUUGACUGUUUGGUGGUUUUACCAUUUUUCCCUUUAACUGCAUAAGCAGAACUGUAGUUAUGGGUUAUUUUCCAGGGAGGACAUCUAUAAAACCAUCAGCAGUAACCUCUAUCACUCAAUGACCCAAAUAGACAGUCUGGAAAAUUAAGCACCUCUGCUGUGAAAUUGUGUUGCACUUUUCUCCCAUUAUUAAAAUGAGCUUGUCCUUCAUAGACCUACCAAUAUGAAAAUAUUACACUCCCCACUUUGACUGGCAUCUCGCACCUUUGCCAAGUUUGCUUUAAUGGCCACUAUUUCUCACUCAAGCAACACUCCAAUAACCCCAACAAGCCAAAAAGGCUUUCAAUGUGUUAUCCUGAGCAACUUUGCUCAGUGAACGGUCACCCUUCUGUCAGCCCAAUUGGGAAAGGGCAAACAACAAAUGGAGGUGACAGUUCAGUGACAGUGUAACUCCAAGGUGAUGCUGAGGCACAGAUGGAUAAGGAAUCCUUGUUUGGGAGGACUGCAGGCUGAGAUACAAAACCGCACAUAGCAGGGAGUUAUGUCAUACUGUGUUUGUUUGGAUCUACCUCAGUUGUUUUAUUGGUUUUAAUUUGGUCCCUAAGGGAAAAAAACAUUACCUAAAGUAAGACACCUCGAUAUGGGUGGGUAAUACAGACUUGUAUUUCUGCAGGAUUUAGCAGAACAGUUUCGUUUGUUGAUAACAGAUAUUUCUGUUUUUACAUCCUGUACUUUUUAGUCUCUCUUUUGGUUGAGGGGUCAUGAAAUGAUCUGUUUAUCUGGACUUGUCAAGUCAACGUGGGUUGUGAAAAGAUUUUCCAACUUAUAAUAAGACAAGUACAUUUAGUGUGAUUGGAUUCUUGUGAUUUGAUGCUCUUGAAAGCAUAAAACUUUAAAAAGGUACAGUGCGUACAGGGCUUGACACUAACUUUUUUCACAAGCAGCACAUGUGCUCCUAAGUUAGAAAAGUAAGGAGCACACAAAGAACUUUAGGGGCCCAAUGAAAAUUAAUCAAAUGAUGUUUGUCUUAUUGGUCGACAUAAGUACUAUCAUUUGAAAUCAAUUUUAGGUGAAUUGGUCACAGGACAUAGAAGCCAUUGAAGGAAAACAGCCUUGUCUGAGAACAUCACCCAGUAAUUUAUUGAUGGUCCCUUAUUUAACAACCGACGUUGACAGCGAGGGUGCGGAGUAGAUUUAACCGCACUGCUCUUGCCAUUCCCCAUUAUGAAGAGUGAGAAGACACCGGUAGAUCCGCGGUGAAUGUCUAUCAAAUGUUCAACCCGAAACUAAAACCAACUUUACCACGGUAUUUACAUUAAAACACAUUUUUAGUCGCAAAUGCGAGUUAAAUGGUCGCACUGUCGAGCCCUGGUGUCGCAAUGGGAACAAUUAGCAACAUCUUUGGGUUUUGAUUCUAGUUUUAAAUGCUCCCUUGCUCACCCCUCAAGUUGCUUAAGCUACAGUGACCUUUGAGGUCAAAAAGCUCCUGUUGACAGAUUCCCAUUUCUGAUUGGUUUACCUUGAGUAAAGUGAUUGUCUGAAACCUCUGCACUGCGUUCAUAAUGGGGUUUGUGUAGAUAACUGUAUCAUCAGCAUAGAGGCAUACUUUUGCUUAAAAUCCUCACCUAAGUCAUUUAUAAAAUUAGAGAACAGAAUGGGACCCAAAAUAGAACCCUGGGGGACACCUUUACUUAUCCUAAGAAAAUCAGAUUUUUUCCCCCCUUUGAAUAGAGACACUGAGUUUAAUCAGUGGAAUAAUUUCUAAACCAGUUAAAAGCCUGAAAGCUUACACCAGCAGUUUUAAGUUUAAUUAGCAUAAGUGGUAGGACUGUAACCGGAUCUCAAACCAGACUGAAAAUCACUUAAAAUAUCUUUCUUGUAAAAGGGAUGAGAGUUUCAAAAUGGGGCAAUAGUUCAACCUUUCCAGGUAAUUGAACACUUAUAUAAACAGUCCUACCAGUGAUAUAUUUUAUUUCUACCAUGUCUGCUAAAUGCCCCAAAACACUUCACACUGCACCUUUGAACAAGCCCUGUAUAUUUUGUAUUUAACUGUUAAAAACUUAAUACUCUGUCCCUGCAUACAUUGUCUCAGUCUAGACCUGUUUUUUAAUAUUGUGUUGCAGCUCUAUUCUUGCACAAUCUGUCAUGGCAUCAAGGAUAUUAAUUUCAGUGCCCAAAAAACAACUCCACCUCAGACUAAAUGAUUAUCUAAAUCCACAUCAAAGCAGAAAGUGACUUAUCAGUAACCGGAGCACAUAUUGAACAACAAAAGGCCACUGCUACGGCUGACCCCGAUAUGAUGAAGCAACCUGCUCAGCGGUGCAGCAACAUUUAACAAACAAUCAAAGGCUAAAGGUGCAAUUUGACCCUUACCGGCACGGUUCAGGACGCACACAGCAUCAUAAAACACAUUCAAGUGUGUGGGCAAUCAUGUACGUAGCUGUGGGCAGGGUAAAUAUUUACUCCUUCUGCAUUAAAUCAUAUGCUAAAUCCAUCAGCAUUAGCAUGACGCUCCUCCCUCCAGCCUUUGCAUAAGCCCUCCUGACUGUUUUGGCUUCUUUGUCAUAUGCCAACAAGAUGCAGAAAUGUUCCUAAACUUUAUAAAAAACAGCAUCCUGCCGAGUGUUGGACCCCGAUACCACACACGCAGACUGUUAGUCAUACAAAGACGGGGGAAAGAAAGAGAUAGCGAGGCUCACAGAUGGCAUUCAGCUGAGAAUAUUUCGCUCGGGGCCAAUGUGUGAGACCUCUGUGCGCUUGAUUCAGAGAAUGUCAUUUGCCUAGUUACUCAGCAGAGCACAACAGCAACAGAACAUGCUGUAAAGUGUGCCUAUGUGUGUGUGUGUGUGUGUGUGUGUGUGUACCUCAGCCCACCCUUGAUAUUUCCCUGUGUCACUCAAGAGCUUGGCACUGCAGGCAAAAGUCCUUGACCUACUAUCCUCUGGCUAUGAUUUUCUUCUUUGCUGCUUGGAACAUUUGGUUAGAAAAUUUCCUCCUCAUAUUUGAUAUGCUCUGGUAGUCAUAUUUCCUUUCUUACACAAGCUGAAUCUGAUUUUUCUUCUUCUCUCAAGCAGCAUGCUGUUGUUUUUUCAUGAAACAUCAAACAGCAGCACUUUACCAUCUCAUUCAUUCCCCCCUAAUUGACACGACGCUGCUGCUUCAUUCUGCCAAAGUAAUAAGCUAAUGCUCUCUGGCAUUGACUGUUUGCUAUUGAUAGUCCCAAACUGCGUGAUGCACACUAGGGAAAUUAAUCAUUCCCACUCACACAAAGGAAUAAAUAUAUUUCUUUUAUUUGUUUAGCCUAGCAGUCAUUAACUCAACAUGUCCUUCAUUUCCUGAAUAUUGAAAUUAUGCAAUUCUGAUUAGUGAUGCCAAAAAUUCAUCAGAGGGGUGCCUGCACCAAAUUAUGUUUACAUACAAGCAAUAUUUUACACAGCUGGUACCAUUUAUUCUUAUUCUCAUGCUGAUAGAAGACGAUCUUUUGUACCCACAACCAUCAGACUUCUUAAUUCUUCUAUAAAUAGUAGAUGAGGUGAUUCCAGGCAAAAGAAUUGCCCUUAAAGGAAAAAAGGUUCUUGUAUUAUGUUGUAUUGAUAAGAGUGUAUUUUAACCUUGGAUCUUUCAGGAUAUGAACUUUAAACUGUGUUGAAAUGCGAAAUAACUAAAUUUGGAACAUGCGAUUAAAGAUGCGAUUAAUCGCGAUAACUUGAUAUUUUGAGAUUAAUUGCAAUCCUUUUUUAUAAAUUUUUAUUUCAUAUCUUUGAUUGAAAGGUUAUGGCAUCAGUCCUAUAAAAAAUAAAAAUAAAAUAAGCACUUUUUAAGACCUAUGCCUAUGUCACUUUUUACAGGCAUUAACCUUUCAGUGCUGUUCAUACUUUUGGAGAACAUGAGGACAGUUUGAAGAAGAUAAUAGUGAUUGUUGGUACAAAUGAGUAUUGAUGCUGGCAGUAUUGAUGAAGGUGUUAAAGGCAGGCUGCUUUUAAUGUUUGCUGAUGGGAAGAAAUGCUGCAAACUAUUAUAGCAAUUGGGAUCAAGUGUUCAAUGCUUAAGUGCAACAUACCUGGAAAGUCAACCUGCAAACGCUGGAAACAUUAGGGUUCGAGAAACAUUUCAAACCGUAUUACGUCAGAUAAACUCCUACCCUCCUACCUGAAAUUGGAUCUCUGGCAAAUUAGAGUCAUUAGCCUCCUCUUCAAUAGCACAUGUGCAGAUAAAAGUGCCUAUCAUCUCAUAACAGUCCGUCAAUUUUCUGCAAUCAGCUGAAUGCAAGGGGAGCAUUUGAAGAAGGGGUAAAAUAUAUGACACGUAUUCUUUACAAUGCUCUUAAUGAGUGUACAGAUGAAGCCCUCUAGUCUCUUGACAAUGAGUAAAAAUUGGUCGAGCUCCACUUUUCCUAUGCUACAUGAAAGGAAGCCCUCAUUAAGAUAAUUUUAUCCCCCUUUGCUUAAGAUGGAGUGAUGUAUUAGGAUGCUCGGCUUAAAAAAGGGGCUUUCUGUGGCAUUAUGUCUUUAAGCAUAAUUUUAGCGCUGCUAAAGUACCGUGGUACAUUAUGUGUUCUUAGGUUGUGAAGAAAAUGGCCCUCGUGUGUCACACAUGUAUCUCAUGAUGGAGAUUUUUGAAACAGCUCACAUCACUGACUGGCUUGGGUGAAAAAAAAUCACUUAAAGGAGUGUUCACAUGCCAGUUUUGGCCCUUUACACUUUCUCGCAUGCUAAAGAGUAAUGGUUGUGACAUUUAUAGCAACAAUAAGGAGCUAAACCUUUUCUUAGUAUGCACCCUGCAUCGCAAAUGUUUUCUUCCAUGCGUCUCUGUGUAACAAUUAAGAGUGUUAGUCUACAGCUCUUUAUCGAACUUGCCUGCAGCAGUGGUCUAGCUCCUGAUCGUAAGGGCAGUGGGGAAAGCUAAUUGUUUCCGGUGUAGUGGCAGUUUGCACUUGUGUUUUUGUGUUUGUGUGUGUGCCUCAAUGAGUGCAAGUGUGCAGUAUGAUCAGCAGCAUGCUUCUCUGCUUGGUUCUAGAAAUUGAUCAGCAUUCUGGCCCUAAUUGGGUUUCUCGUGGUUAAAUAUUGGAAAUCAGUCAACCUCUUUGUCCUGGCCUCUUUCCUGUUUGUGUGUGAUACAAAUACAGACGGUUGGAACUGUGGGUGGUGGGAGAGAAAAACCCUAUUUACUCAAGACAAUUGCAUGAAAAAGAUGCAAGUAGAAGAGGUGAGAUAACCUCUGGAUGGUUUACAAAGAUAGCCUUGAAACUAGCUGAUAAUGGGAACUUAGGUUGGUAAAAUCAUAAAGAUUAUGAUGUAGUUUGUUCCUCUUUUACAGAUGCAUCCAAAGGUCCAGUACUUGAAAAUUUGGUGAUACUAAAAGGAGAUUCAAGGCUUAAAUGUUCACCCCUAAAUACCAAGGCCUUGGAUGACAAUAAACCCCAAAUUUUUUAUUCUUGUUUCCCCGCAUUUUUAACGCAUACAUGUUGCACGCAAUGGUUAAUUUGCAUGUUGGUGAGACAGCACUAAUAAGCUGAUAUUGUGGCCAUACAACAUAACCAUUGAUAUGUGGAGAUCAGAAGUUGAAAAACAGUGCAGAAAUCAGUGAGGGGUGUUAAAACACUCAAGAAGCAGAGUUAAGGGGACAUCAAACGAAUUGAAGAAAACAGACAAACACAAAUUGCAAAAUGGUACGGGUUUUAGGAGGGUUAUAGAUAGCAGACAGUGCCUGCUGACUAUGAAAGUUACAGGGUAAAGGACCUUGCCAAUAAGGAUGUUAUAUUUAAUUUAAUCAGUUUUGAUUAGAGCCUGAUCAAACUCGCAGAUUUUCGCAGAUAUUUUCGGAAAUAAAAUGCGGCGUAUAAGAUUUGGUUUCACUUCGAAAAUGUUCCACCAUCUGAAAAGUUCCCCGACUUAUUCUGUAGAUGGCGCAGCGACCUCAUGACAAUCUUCAUCCACUAACUACCUCGGUCCGAGUUUGAUAUGUCAGUCUUCCUUUCGGCAUGAAGAGCAGUACAGUAUAUAUACAGAUAUAUAAACAUAUAUUUUUUAUAACUUCAUAAAAAAAUUUUAAAUUGGCCGAUUAAUCGAUAAUCAGAUUUUUUUUCCCCCUGAUAAUCUGUAUCAGCAUCGGGCCCUACUGCAGACUAUGAAAGUUAUCGGAUAAAGGACCUUGCCAAUAAGGAUGUUAAUUUAAUGUGUGUUUUGAUUGCAGGCUAACUUAAGUUGAGGGCCCCCUCACCUAAAAGGCUUUCAUUAUUCUAUAUUAGAGAAUAAGACUGGUGUUUUGAGCAUUUUCCUCCAAAACAACAACACAGGAGUGAAUACUAAUAAUCUGUGGCAGAGAAAAUGGUUGAAUGUGCAUCUCCCCGUGCGCAGUGACUGUUGAGCCAGCUGAGCCCCGGUCAGUCCCAGCUCUGCCCUCCGGCCCUGUCGAGAAGCCGUAAUGCAUCAGCGCAUAUGACAAGUGUGCGGGGCGUCCUCAUGCCCAGCAGGCUAGUGGCGACUUAGUGUGCAGCAUGCCAUGGAACAAGCAGAUAGGCGCUGGGAAAGAGGCGCAGUCGACCAAAAACAGGAGCUCGGCUUCAAACUGACCCACACGGUCCACAUGAAUGAAAGUCAGUGUUAACAAACCAGAGGCCGCAGCGAGUGAAGCCUUUCAAUCUAUAGGACAAGCCUCACAUAAGUGUUAGGGAGCUCUGUAUCUUUCCAUUGAUUGCCUCUUGCAAUACGAGUCAAAUGAGGACAAAUCUACUGUUGUCAAUGGAGCACCAAACAAACCUUGAGUCUCCUGCAAAGUUGAUGCAGCUGACUUUAAGCUGACAAAUGAGUCCACACCAGGAAAAAAAUAUAAAAUAAAAAUUAAACUCAAAACAAGAAAGACGAGUAGUUUGUGUCUUUAAAAAAACAACAUUACUUUGUGUUAAAUCUGAGAUUUUAAGUCUGACAUUUGAAGCUUUUUACACAUUCUUCCAUGCAAAAUAUUUCCAGGAAACCACAUUAAAAGGGGGGAAAAAAAGCACAUUAAAGUAAACCGCUCUCACCUUUUGUUCUAGUGCCAAGCAAUUAAGAAAAUUCAACAUUUUGUGACAAAUACUGUUCGUGAUCCAGUGUUUCCUUUCUCAUUCUACCUUGAAAGCUUUAAUCACUGUCAAGAGGUUAAAAACAAUCAGAAACAUACUUUUAAAGUAGUCAAAAAAAUAAAGUUUUUAUUAUUAUUAUUAUUAUUAUUAUUAUUAAUAAUAAUAAUAAUAAUAAUAAAGUUUUUAUUAUUAUUGUCGUUAUUAUUAUUAUUAAUAAAAUAAAGUUGUUAUUAUUAUUAAUUUUAUUGUUAUGUUAUCAUUAUUAUUAUUAUUAUUAUUAUUAACAUUAUUAAAAUAAAGUUGUUAUGGUUAUUAUUUUGUUAUUAUUAUAAUUAUCAUUAUUAUUAUCAUCAUCAAAAUCAUCAUUAUUCUUAUUAUUAUCAUUAUUAUUAUUACUAUAUAAGCAAGAAAGGUUGGGUAAUAAUUAAUUAUUUGUAGAUGCAAAAAACAUAUAUACUUUAUGCUUUAUGUUUAUUGGAUUGGCUAUAAUUAUUCUACUUAAACUAUGCACAUAUACUUUUUUUUGUUUUACAACUCUUCAAUGAUGUUUUUAUUUAGUAGAUAGUGUUAAGACAGAGUGGUAAUGACUGCUAAUAAUCUAUUUGUUCACUGAUACUCCGGCCACCCCGACUCAUAUCAGUACUGGGGCUGUGCCACCCCAGUUAAAAAGUCUGAGCACACCCCUGAGGAGGACAGAGGAACCAGUGGGACCAGAAUUGAACCAAUUAAUUCUAAGUGAAAGGGAAAAAACAAUAUACCCAACAAAAACUAUAUUUAUUCCUAUUUUUUAAUAAUGAGGACCACCAUGUGCAGACAGUGAACUUCCACUAGCUAGUAUAAAACAGCCAGGACACAAAAUACCAGCAGUCUGUGUCAAAGGAGAACUGAUCAUUUUAACUCUGUGAGAAAUAAUAGUUUCCUUUUUGUCAUAAUAUCUUCUUUGUUUGAUGCUAGCUCCAUAAAUUUCCAGAUAAGGCCAGCCAAAGACAGAAACCUUUCAACACAGCAGGCUACCAAACAAAGGAACUAAUGAUUUUAAACUUCAUAAAAGAUAAAAAAAAGUUCCUGCUGUUGUAUGACAUUAUCUCCCACGUAUCAUUUACCAGCACUCUGACUUCACUUUUUGCCUGUUAAAACUUUUGCCUCUAUUGAAUUUUUGCAUUACAUCUGUAUGCGACAGAAUCCAGGUCAUGUCCUCUCCAGUCCUUGUCUUCAAGGACUUACAAGUACUUCAGAGGACACGAGAGUAAGUUAAAGAAAGGUUAAGUGCCUCGCAGAGUGUCGCUCUCAAACUCAGCGAGAGCUCGAUGAGGACUUUUGGAAGUCUGAACAAACACCUCCAUCUACAUAAAUAACACAGGGUUAGAACAGGUCGGUUGUAUUUUCCACACAUCCCUAAGGACUCUCACCUGGAGUCUUACUAUACCUUCACAGAGUUGGAUCUGUUUUCUAUGUGGAGAUGGAGGAGAGCCAACUCUUGCCUCUGCAUCACUGAUAACAUCCUGGUGCACUGCGUUGCAUGUGCCAAAUUCACUGUUUAGGGUGAUGCAUGUUUUUAGAUUAUCCUACAGAUUAUUUCCCCUUGUAAAAACACACAAAAAAAACAUCUUUCUAUCCAAGGUAUCUGUAUAAAACACUGCAGCACAUGCAACAAGUUAACACAAGUUAUUCGUGUGAGGAUGGAUGCAGCGUUUAAAUUAGAACCCACGUCAUGCUCUUGUUGAUUUUGAGAGAACCACUUAAGCGGGCACUUAACCUUUUCUCUGACUUACUUUUAUGUUGUCUGAAAAGCAUGUGAGUCCUUGAAGACAAGGACUUGAAGGAAGAUAACCUUCUUUUCUUGUCCUUUGGCAGAAACAACGUCAAUCAAGUAGCGCUUGGCAGUUGCACAAGUUUUCAUAAUUAAGGCUUCAGUGAGAAGAAGGACAAUAUUGGACCCGAUUACACGCCUCACACAUGGCUAAGCAUGCAGGGUAAGGCAUUAAAAUGAGGUGCGGUCAGGCAUACAGGUGGUGGUAUUUAAAAAAAAACUGUAAUUUUGCUGAUAAAGCCAAAAAUUCAUAUAGGAAAAAUUGAUAAGCUCUCUAAGGGCCAGACACUAACUUUUUUCACAAGGAGCACACAAAGAACUUCAGGAGCGCAAUAAAAAUUGAUCAAAUAAUGUUUGUCUUAUUGGUCGACAUAAGUACUAUUUGAAAUCAAUUUUAGGUCAAUUGGUCACAUGACAUGGAAUCGAUUGAAAGAAAACAGCCUUUUCUGAGAACAUCACCCAGUAAUUUAUUGAUAGUCCCUUAUUCAAUACCCAACGUUGACAGCGAGGGUGCUGAGCAGAUUUAAUCGCACUGCUGUUGCUAUUCCUGGUUAUGGAGAGUGAGAAGACACCGGUAAAUCCGCUGUGAACGUCCAUCGGAUAUCCAACCUAAAACUAACUUCACCACAGAGCAGAUUAAAGGUCCUUUCACACCGGGAGCGUUUUUUUCGUGCGAUUAUUUCGGACGUCAAUAUUUUUUUUCAAACCCGUAUCCUGUCAAUACAAGCGUUCACAUCAGCGACGUUUUCCCGUCCUGCGAUAUUGCGGCAUUUAUUUUUUUGUAUCACGGUCGAAUUUUCUAAAAUUCGUUUCCAUUCUGACUAAUCAGAUUUCGUGUUGUUGCGACGUCAGAUUCACCAGUAUAUCCAACAUGGCCGACCGGCUGAUUGUUUACGUGUCAGAGAACAGAGUGCUUUUUGAUAAAAAACACAAAUAUUACAAAGAUAACGACCUGAAGGACAACUUGUGGAGAGUCAUAGCGUCGGAUUUCUCAUAUGACGAUGGUUUUUGUGCUUUAACAGUUUGCCAAACGUCUUUGUUUUAACUUUCAUCUGUGCUAAGUAACUUUAGCUCGUAAGCUAACCUGUUCAGAUACAACAUACCAUAUGUAUUUUCACUGUCUCAAACUCAAUGGCGUUGCUGUUACAGCACCAUUAGGUCUCGGUUGUUACCUUACGUUUAUGGUCGCACUGUCGAGCCCUGUCUCCAUCAUGCGCACUUCAUGGAUGGGCACUCUCUCAAAUGUAUGGGGACAUACAUACAAACACACACACACACACACACACAGAGCUAAGGGUAAUUUACUCAUACAAUCCUUAAACAAAACUCUCAUUUGCAACCUCCCACUAUGUAUUGAUUGAUCAACAAAAAUUAAAUCAAGUCUUUAUGUCAUUACUGUCGGUCUUGUCUCAUACUGCUUGCAGAUAAGUUACAGCAAAGUUUUGGUCUGAUCCAAGAACAGUUUUUUUCACAUUUCAGGAUCUUCUUUGUGCAUUUGUGAAUGUGGCAACAUCAACUACUGAGGCGUUCUUCUGCAGUCUGUUGGUAAAUCUGUGGUUAUAACAGAGCAUACUGGAAAAGAAACCAUCAAGCUGCUGUUACAUUCUUCCAUUAAGAGCAGUUAAACUAAACAUGCUUCCAUAAUCUUACAAUGGAAUCAAAGGUCAUGUACAACAUAAAUUAACUCUCUUUACAGAUAUUAAGGCAGCGACAGCCGAGACAUGUGACAGCAGCAGUGGAAACAAUCUGCAAUAGAGUUAACUGACAUGACCCUGCUCACAUUAAUGUACAGAACAUAAAUUCAUAUACUAUGUGCAGCGCUUAAAUAAGCACUACUUGUACAUAUUUUAUUGAAUCUGUUACUGUCAAUUGUUUGCUGAUUAGAUUGUUCUUAUACCUGAAAUGUAUUUUUAAGCAUUUACUAAUCAGCAUGAUGAAAAUGUACAAAGCAUAGUAGAAGCAGACAAGAAAAAAAAAAAACGUUCAUAGAAUCUGAUUUAAUUCAAACACGAUUAAAUCACUGUUGUGAAAAAGCCACUUCUUGUCCCCAAGAGAAAAAAGUAAUACUGCAAAUAUCGAAGUUUAUUGUCAAUUAACUGCCGAACAAAGCUAAUCCUCACAAGUUUAGCUCAAACUACUUAAAUAUCACAAAAAAGUUGAAUAUUUGGACCUAUGUGCUUUGGCACAGUCACGUAAGCAGCAGUGAGUGUGCUGGUUAUGCUUAUGUAGGUAUUUUCAGCUGAUUCUGAGAAAAAAACACUCCUUGUAUGACCCUUUUUUUUUUUUCUUUUUAUGAAAACAGAAAUAACUAGAUACGUUUGGCGUGACGUAUGCAAAUGGCCAAAAUGGGCCGAAAACAGCGCAAUAACUCUUUCACCAUGCAUCCGGGAGAAAAGUCCGUAAUCAGCACGCGUAAUCAAAGAUCUCGUUAAGAUACACGUGCCUGUAAAAUUUCAAGCAGAUUGGACAAAGUCCACGUUCGUGGCACUUUUAUCGCAUUUUUGGGGAUCGCUUUAAAACAGCCAUUUUCCCCGGGCCCGAACUGCCUGCAAAUUUUUGUGAGUUUUCGAGGUCGUUCAGAGGGUCAAAUUUGCGUAGUAAAAUAAUAAUAAUAAUAAUAAUAAUAAUAAUAAUAACCCCUUGGGUUUCAAUAGGACUUUACCACUGAGCCGUGCUCUCGGCUCGGGCUCUAAAAAAAAAAAAAAAGUUUUAUGCACAUAUUGAAAAAAUCUUCACUGUAUGAUUUAAAGACAGUACAAAGAGUUUUAUUUGGUGAAAAUAAACAACAAACUGACAAGACACCCUUUUAUUGUAAAUAAAUAAAUAAAAUAAAAUAAAAUUUUAAAAAAUUGUUUGAAAACUUCACUUUCACGCAGGGGCGCAAAAGUUGCGAAACGCUGCAACAAAGGGCAUAUGCCUAGAUUUGCUAUUGUACACCCAUGAACCAAGUGUAAACAGGGUCUUUCUGCGGUUGCGACCAAAUACUCCUUACUGUAGCUUUAAUUGUUAUUCUUUCAAUAACAGUGAAGGAUAAGAAAACCUGAGCUGCACAGGCUUUGGUGGCUUCAUAACUUCUAAUAACAUGUUUACAAUGUAAAUCACUGUAUAUACUUGCUAAUUAAGGAGCUUAGUAUUGACAACAUGUGAGUGCCCACACCAACUGGAGCAAUAUUUUGUUUUCAUUUCCUCAUUAAAACCAAGAAAUACCAGGCGCUGACACUGUGUUUUGAGCUCUGCAGUUAAAAGGACCCACUACUGCUUCAAGUAAUUGCUAUUUCCAUCCCACGCAGAACCAUUUUACAGGUUCCAACUGCAUAUUUUAAUAUUCCACAGCGUAAGCCAGGUGAGCAGCCUUCAGAUGAAGUGUGCACCACAGAGGAGAGUCGCUUAGAUUUGCAGCAGAACACGCUAGUGUCGGCUAUAGCGAGCAGAUUCACGGCUCCCUCUGUUAUCCGCGACUUUGUGUUUUUAUUUGUAGCACCAUGUAGCUGACAGAUCUCGCAAAAUCGUCCUAACUGUUUAUCUCGCCCGUGCUGCUUGAUUUAUGCGGCCAUAAAUAAAUGAUUCAUGCUCUGGAGUGUGCGUUGCAGUCAUUACAGAUUUGCUGCAUCAUUCCUGUCUGGGUUUAAGAAACAGCCCAGAAGCCAGACUCACCAAUUUGACGACAGGCUGAUCUGUUACACAAUCUACCCCAGUGUUACUGCGACUAUCUAUCCGGCUGCAUCUAGUCUCUGUGUUUCUGUUUGUAUGCACAUGUUUUCUCCCCCCUCCUUUUUUUUUUCCUGCGUUACAUCACUCUCCCAGAGGUUGCAGUCACCUAGCACAAACACAGCUUGGUGGUCUCGUCUGUCUGCAAACUUGUACAUGCAGCUGACAAGCUGUUAGUGUUCAGAUAUCCGUUCAUCGGAAGGCAGAACACACACGCGGAUUGACUCUGAGGCGCUGGGGAAUUUGCACACAGACGCACAAAUGCACACACUCAGGUGCUUGGACUGGGGGACUGGCAGAUGUCAUGUGCAAACAGUGACAGAUAUAGAAGUAAAGGAUCUGGAUGUGACUACACCAUUUCUGUGGUAAUCUGAUCCAAUUCAUUACACUGUACUGGACCAUAAAUACAUCGUAGCCAAGGUGAUGAUGCAUCUAUUUUAAUAUACCUGUGAAUCAGACACGAGUGAACCCAAAUGCAGACACCUGGCAAUCAAGUGCAGAGAACUGUCCUUAUUAACACCUUUUAUGUAUUUUUGAUUCUUUUGCACAUUGUGAGGUGCAAAGUGAGAAAAGGUUUGUGAAACUUUGUCAAUUUCUCUUUUGAUUAAAUUCUUUAACAGACACAAGUGAAUCAGAGAAUACCUGAAUCUAGAUACCCAGUCAUGAAAUAAACUUCAAUAUCCGGAUUUUAUAUGUAUGAAGGAGUAUUGGGGCCACAUUAAAAAAAAAACAAAUUAAGACUUGGAGAUUAAAGUCAUUACUUACAAGAAUUAAGUCUUAGGAAAAUCCUUUUUUACGAGAAUAAAGUCGUAAAAAAAUCAUAACUUAUGAGAAUUAAGUCGUAAACAAAAUCAUUACUUACGAAAAUAAAGUUGUAAUAAAAUAAUCACUAACGAGGAUUAAGUUCGUAAUAAAAUUAUGAUUUACAAGAAUAAAGUCGUAUUAAAAAUAUUACUUAAGAGAAUAAAGUUGUAAUAAAAUCGUAACUAUCAAGAAAAAAGUAGUAAUAAAAUCAUUACUUAUGAGAAUUAAGUUUGUAAUAAAAUCAUUAUUUACGAGAAUAAAGUUCGUAAUAAAAUCAACACUUACGAGAAUAAAGUCGUAAAGUGAAUGAAGUCUUAAAGCUGCUUUUGUGGAGGAGGAAAUGUCUGAACUGGUCAACUGCAGAGUUAUCUGUGGGUGCAUCAGUGGGCCAUUCAGAGGACUUUUGUGGUUUCUCAAGAAACAAUACAACUGAUGAUCAACAUUUGGGAUUCAGAGGGAGUCGAGAUCUGUCGAGCACCGCAUCAGUCUCUGAUAUCGGCACAACACUGGCAGCAACCUACACCUGCAGAGGCACCAACACCUUAUGGCAGAUAGAUUCAUACGAUAAACUUAAGCCAUAUGCUAUUGCUAUUGUAAUAAAUGGCUGCAUUGAGGGAUUUAGUCUCUGUACAGCCAUUUCCAGCCAUCCCCCCCUUAAAAACAGCAAUUCCUUACAAGUCCGCCUGGUUCUUUCUGCGGAAAAGAUGCAUUUCUUGCACAUGUCCUGAUACUUAUGACACUGUGAUGCUGAAAUGACAAAGGAUUUAGUAUUUCCUUGUUUGUGAAACCUAGCUAUUGAAGUUCAAUUCAUCUAAAUGCUCCACAGCGCUCAUUUAAACAACGAACAACAGGUAAGAAGAGCCAUGAGCUACGACUUUAUUCUCGUAAGAAAUGAUUUUAUUACAACUUUAUUCUUAUAAGUAAUUACAAUUUUUUUUUUUUUUUUUUUUUUAUGUGGCCCUAAUACUCCACCGUAGAAGUGUCUUCAGGAUUUUGGGGAAAUAUUUUUGCUAUGAUGAGUAAAGUUUCUGUGUUUAAGUCAAAGGAAAGUUAUGUGUCAGUGGAUUUUAUUCCAACAUUAAAUAACGUUCAAUAUUAUAUUUACCGAGAUUUUCAGCUCUCAACCGCAUCAAAUUUCAUUAUUGAUAUAAAAUGAGGGAAGUAUUUUCAAAAUGAUCUUUUUGGAACAUUUUGUAGUAUCUCAGUGGUUUAACACAACAGGACUCUACAUAAACCCAAAUCCAGAUCCUUGACAACAAUAAACUCAGCCAGGACGGGGCCCUCAAAACCAAAAUUCAGACAGUCAACCCAAAAGAGAUCAUAUAACAUUCCAAAAAGUUGAAUUUAUUUCUUUAAUUUCUUGGAAUAAAUCUUUUGAGUGAAUUCACUGACAUACAAUUUUGCAGUGUCUUUGUGAAUUAACAAAAUUGGAUCCGAGAUUAACCCAAAUCCAGAUGCCAUUACAAGACACUUUCAUUUGACAUUCUUAAAAGUUUUUUUCCUUUUUAAAAGCCUGUAAGGUGAAGUGUUGUACCUGACAAGUUUCGGCUACUUUAACUUACUUUAACGCACCACUGAAGAUGUCACACUACCAUCACGUGACACCUCUGAGGAAGACUGCAGAGGCAAAGUAGCCGAAAGUUGUCAGGUACAACACUUCACCUUACAGGCUUUUAAAAAGGAAAAAAACUGAGAUCAAUAUUCAUACGUAAGCCAAAUGAACCUCUUUAAUAUAUUCUUAAAAGUUGACUUUGUUUCAAUGCUUUCCGUAAUAUGUCAAGAGUAAGUUCAAAAAGUUGAUCCCCAAUGUUGUUCAGAAAGUUUACUGUUGUGAACAGAGGAGCCUGAACAGUAAAAAAACCCAAAUCCAGACACCCAGACAUGAAAUAUGCAUCAACAGCCUGAAUUCCAAUUUCAGCGAUUUUUGAGAGAUAUAUUUUGGAAUUUGAAAAGGUAUUUUCUUCAGUGUCAUAACCAAAUUCUUCACAGUAGCUUUAAUUUUUCACCCGUAAACAGACAUAGUAGGACUCUAAAAUGACCUGAAUCUACAGUGAGUUUUACAGUAAAAUUCUGUAUAUUUUCGACCUUGAGUUCCCAACUUGUGAUACAUUCGGCUUACAUAAGAAUCUCUAAAACUUCAAGCAUGUCUUCCCUUACUGUAAACAUGCAUCAUUUUACAAGAUGUGUGUGGAUAAGAUCUCUACAAGCAAAUGCAAAAAGUGUACGAGAAAUUACUGUAAAAUCUCCUCAUUUGCACAUUGCCCUAAAAUUGAUUGACGGUAUUUUCCUGUACAGUAGCCUUAAUUUCAAUCUAGAAGCCUCUGUGGUUUAUCUAUUCUUAGACGUUAAGGAUCUGUAUGCGCUGAGAUCUCUCUAGAAUCAGACCCUUGUUGUAGGGUGUAAUGCACCAAGUAUAAUUGUUUCCUUGCUGGACUGUAUGUCGCAUUAGCGGAAAGUAGCAGACAAUUGGUGCAGGACCAUGAAAGCAAAGCAAAUGCAUCAUUCUCCGCGUGUUUCAGUCCGUGGCAUGGCUCUCGGGGAAAGCAAGACUGGUAAACAUGUUUUCACAGAGAGCUAUAUUGCUUUUCACAAUUACACACAAACAAGGGGCUGGCCUCCUUACUCAAUGACUUUGGAGGUAUUUGCUGUAAUUUUCUGUAAUCUCUCCUGCAAGGAUGUUGUCGUGAGUAAAAAGUCCUGUGGCCCAGAAAGUAGCGGGGGUAAUAAUGGAUGUAAUUAGCACAGCAGGAUGACUGAUACGAUGCUUAAACCACACUUAUAUCCACUCACUAUCUUUUUUCACCCCCAUCUGGAACCCCUCAGAAUCUGUCAAAUUGCAGAAAUGCUCCUCCUGGCUUCUGCCUCCACUCCUCCUCCGUCUCCAUCCCUCUUUCUUUACUUCUUAAGCUCCUUCGCUUUGCUUUGUAUCGGUCGGCCUUCAACCCCUUCUAUACCCUCCUCUAUCUCCCCACAUGCAACAUUUCACACAUUCACUGCCCUCCAUGCCUACGCUUUCUCCAGAUCAACAGCACCACCCAGUGUUUUCAAAGUAAACUUGUUUUUUUUCCUUUCCUUUUUUUUUUUUUUACAUAACCAUUGUUGAUGAGGUUUUCAUUUUGAACAUCUGCUCAUAUCUCAUUUUUUUCUCCCCUCACUCAUUAAGGCUGUUAGUUUUUUAUUGAUGUCAGCUUUGCCAGCACAUUAAUGAUUUAUAUGUGUGCCCGCCAUAAUAAGUUUGAUUAAUUGAACAAGACUUCCUUGUUUGAGGUGCCUCUGGGUUGCGGUGGCGUCCAUGACACUGUUUUCCUUUUUCCUAAUGACAGUAAAUUGGCAAAAAAUAAUAUUGUUGAUGGUAAUGAGUUGUUUUGAAUGUUAAGUAUCACCCAUCGAGUGUGUGAUUAAAUCGUUUUAAUGAAAAAGACUUUUUUGGAGAUGAUGUGACAUGGCACUACUUUUUAAUACGUGUUAAUUUGAAUCUUUCAGUCUGGUUUUAAUCAGAAUUUUUGUUGAAUUUAACGGCCCGUAACUGUGAAUACUCAAGCCUUUAAAGCAUGAAAAUUACACCCCAAUUCAAAUGUGAUGCUACUAGCAAAGAGAGAAAUGGGAAAAUGGUCAAAAAUGUUCAAAAAGUUGUAAAAUGCAAAAAGUAAACAAACAAAAUAAAACACAUUCGAUUGCAACAGGUUCACAAGAUAACAGACGCUGAUAGAAGCUGGGUCUCGUAAAGGUUCACCACUUUGUGAGAGACUGCGUGAGCAAUAGUUCAACCGUUGAAAAAUGUGGAUUUCAUCAUCUUUGGUACACUAUUUCAUUAAAUAUUUAGAUUAUCUGGAGAAAUCUCUGCACAGAAGGGACAGUACCUAAAAAUAAAUAUCAAUCAGCUGUGUUUUUCUUGGCCUUAGGCAGCACCGCAUGAGAAACAAGCCUGACACAGUAGUGGAAAUCACCGCCUGGACCCAAAAAAAUAAUGUCCACUGGAGUGAAAUGCUAAAAUGUUCUGUAAUCUUAAAGAAUCGAAAUAAGACGUUCUAAUUCAAGGAAGAGAAUAAAUACAAUUUAAUAUCCAUAUUUAAUGAGGCAUAUAAAAAGAAAGAUAUUAAAAAGUUGGUCUCAAGAAUAUACAAAAGUAUACAAGCCUCUAAAAAUCAUUCUACGUUAUCCAUUAAACAAAAAUAGGAGAAGGAGUCAGGAAUACAAAUAUCAGAAGAGACCUGGAUAGAAAUAUGUGAGACACAAGCGACCAAGUCUACUGCCGGAGACAAUGUGGAACCCAUUGGACGAAUCACUUUCAUGUCUUUUGGGCCUGUCCGAAAAUCUGUUUUAUAUCUCGGUAAAAUCCCAGGAAACAGUCCAACAUAAGGACAGGUACCUGUUGAAGAUUCUUUUGGCAAGUGGUAGGAAAGCCAUAACAAGAAGGUGGUUGCAACCAGAUUCUCCGACAUUGAACCAAUAGCACGGGAUUGUCCAAGAAAUUCACUGUAUGGAGAGACUUACUUUUGUUUCAAGACUUCAGUUGAAGAACUAGGAUUUAUAGCGUGUGUGUAUAUGUAUUUAUGUUUAAAAGAAUAUUUCCAUUUCAACUGUAUCACCCAUGAUGACCUCAUGUUUUUUUGGAAGUCAUGGAUGCAAUGCCCUGAAAUUUUUAAGAGGGAUUACUUGACUUCAGAGCAGUUUAAGCAAUCCGUCCUGGUUGAAUGUGCCAGGGACACAUCCAACAGGAGGCAUCCAGGGUGGCAUCCAUACCCAAAGACAAAACCACCUCAACUGACUCUUUUUGAUAUGGGGACACAGCAGCUCUACUCUUAGAUCCUUUCAGAUUGACUGGAUAGUAUGGAUAUGCACAAAUGCCCAUUCCUCAUGACCCAUGGCACAGGUAGCUUCCACAGAUCGUAAUAGGUUAUGGAGAUGGACUAAAUUCUGCCUGUAGUAAACAUUGUGGCUAUGGAGUAGAAAGGUCUUGGUACUUAUCUGGCUUACUUGCAAUCCCAACUUGUUACCCCUUAAAACAUUUGCCACUAUUCGAGCAUAAAAGCAUUUCAGGAGUUUUGCAUUUUCAACUUACUUGCACAAUUUCAACCUUGAUGUCUUUUUAUGUCCGUUUUACUUAAAACGCAUCUGUUGUCCAAGCGUCACCAAACAGGAUUAGAUCCCUUCAGCAUGGUUCUCCUUUCCCAGCUUCACAGUCCUCACAUUCAGCCGGAGAUUUGUUGCCGUUGGCACAGAGCCGCAGAUUUAUAGCAUUUGUGAAAAGCUGCUGAUUGUUAAUUAAAAUCCCUUCCUGUCUCUUGAGCUUUUUGUUCGCCUUAUGCAAAAGGCGAAUGUGUUGUUUUUGUAUCACACUCAAAAGCUGAAUAUGGUUUGAUAAGAACUUUUUUUUUUCAGUGUACGAAGCAAGAGGUUAUCACAGAGGAUUCAGAAAAGUUAGACACGUUAACAACAAUGUUUCCCAAAGAAAUCCAUUUAUCAUAGAGUAAACCGAGUGAAUUUCCUCCUGGGCUUUUUGCUCAGCCAUGUGAGAUCAUUUUAUGUCCGAAUGGGAUGAGUUUGUUUAAAUAUAUACAUUAACCUUUGGUGAGGGGUAAGAGCAACGUAAAUCAUCCAUUGAGAUCCAUUAAGAAUUUACAAUGGCAGUCUUAACGGUACUACCAGAUUAAUAAUAGCCAUCGUAAUUCGAGAGCAUCUCAUUUUAAAUAAAGCCUGAUUAUAUAUGGAAUAAUUGCUAGAACGGCAACCUAUAGCAACCCUUCAUUAUGCUUCCCAUAUGAAACAAUCAGCCAUGAAAAGCCGUCCAUAGAACUGUCAUAAAUAGACAUGAAGUACAUUUACAUUGCAUUAUCUGUAUAAUGAAGUUCUUAAUGCUUCCAAGGAUUUGUUAAUUAUCCGAUUCAAGCUGCGUUGAGUAUAUUUAGCUAAUUAUUUAGUAGGAUAUAUGAUAAUAAUUCCAGCCAGAUGCAAUCAUUUUACUGCUUGAUGAAUAAGCUGGCUCUGCAUGAGUAUGUUUCUCACAGAUUUGGCCCCAUUUUCUUAAAUAUUUCGCUCAGGUUGGGGGACCUUGAACUUCACUAUGAUUUUGUCCUGCUGUUUAAUUUUAAAUAAUUGUAAAAAAAAAAAAAAAAAAAGUCUGUUGGAUAUUUUUUGAACAAUCCAGCUCCUCUUGAUGGAUAACUAACAGAAAAAUAACCUUAAAAAGACCAUAAUUUCAGAUAAAACACUUUUUAGCAUCCAUUAGCUAUGUUAGCCAAAUUUAUGGGCUUACUUUGUCGUUUCAAGAUACAAAAGUUUGGUUUUCUCCUUUAUUUGAUGGCAAAACUUACCUUAAAAGUAAUCAUCACAAAGAAUCAUGAUAAAGGUGCAGUUAUAGUAAAAAUCUAAGAUAAUAAUGGGUGCUCUGGUAUGCAGUAUUUCAUACAAAUUGUAGCUAAUCGCGUUAAAAAAUAUUAAGCCGACCCUUAAAGGAAAAGUCGACCCCCUGCACCCUCACACUGUAUCACAACGUACUGGACGUAACGUUAGCCUCCAGUAGCUAAUGUUAACUAAAUUUAAAUCUUACUUUGUAGUUUCAAGGUACAAGAGUUUUAUUUGAUGGCAAAACUCGCUUAUAUUUCUGCUGCUUCCUCUUGACCGACAGAAGGCCCUUCCUAUUUUCAACGUACUCAUUACAAAGUCUCCUGAUAAAUGUGCAGUUAAAGUAAAAACCAAAGAUAAUAAUAGCUGCUCUUCGUACACAAACUGUAGCUUAUUGCAUUCAAAAAACAUUGAGCAAACCCUUAAAGGAAAAGUCGACCCCCUGCACUAGGGCCCGACCGAUUUAUCGGCGAGCCGAUUAAAUCAGCCAGUUUUAGCCCGUUUGAGACUUUUGGUAAUCUGCCAAAACUUGCAGAUUUUCGCCGAUAUUUUCAGAAAUAAAAUGCGGAGAAUAAGGUUCGGUUUCACUUCAAUAAUGUUCUUGCAUUUGAGAAGAUUCCCCAACUUAUCCUGUAGAUGGCGCAGCGACCUCACGACAAUCUUCGUCCACUAUAACUACCUCACAGCACAGCAGAGUGACGGAUCUGAAGCAGGCAGCUCAGGGACGCACGGAGGAGAGCGGUCUGCCUCAACGGUAAAUAAACCAGUUUGUGAAAUCCACAAUAAGUCAACAAGUUUCAGUUCAACCCACUUCACGAUGUUCCCCGCUGUGCUGGUCUAGGUCACGCCAAGUUAACGGUGAAACACCAUGUAAUAUGCAAGCUAAAGUUAGAGUUAGCCAUCUGCUAUCAGCCUUGCUACACCGUUAGCCGUGCCAGUAACGGUAGAAUAAACAACAGUACACAUUGCGUGAUCCAGCUUCUUCUCUUACUAAGGCAGCUGCAUGUCUCCAGAUGAGACCGGACUGGAAAUAUGUAACGUGAGUCGAGACGCGGAGGCAACGAUCAAGGAAGAACUCUAAUUAAUUUUACGCCGGAAUAUCCCCUUAAAUAUUUUUUAUAACUUCAUUAUUUUUAUUUUUUUUUUAUUUGGCCUAUUAAUCGGUAAUCAGAUUUUUUUCCCCCACUGGUAACCGGUAUUGGCAUCGGCCCCUAAAAAUCCAUAUCGAUCGAGCCCUACACUGUAUUGGAGAUAACAUUAGCCUCUUUUAGAUAAUGUUAGCCAAAAAUAACAUCUUACUUUGUAGUUUCAAUAUACAAGAGAUUUAUUUGAUGGAAAAAAAUCACCAAAAUUUCUUCUGCUUCCUCUCGACCAUCAUGAGGCUUCCUUAUUUGAAAAGUAAUCAUCACAAAGCCUCAUGAUAAAUGUGCAAUUAUAGUAAAAAUCAAACACAAUAACAGCUGCCCUGGUAUGCAGUAUUGUACACAAACUGUAGCUUAUUGCGUUAAAAAACAUUUAGCCGACCCUUAAAGGAAAAGUCGACCCCCUGCACCCUCACACUGUAAUACACUGUAUCCAUCAUCAGCCACCGGCCCCUGGAGCUGUUUCAUGAUGAGUUGUUGUAAUACGUUUUGUGCCGUGCAUUUUCUCCCAACCUGCAUCAUCUGCUUGUAAUUGCAGUUUGUGAUUUCACACGUUUCCCUCCGGACUUAUUGCACAACCCCCCGAGAGAGAAAACAGAGAGUAAACAGUUAAGUGUCUUCAUCGUAGACAUCACAACACAAGGUGCCUCGCGGCUGCAGAUUUGUAUGCAUGAUGACCUGUCGGGCAUGUUCUCAUAUUGACUAGACAUCAGAAUUGUCAUGAACUCGGCUGUGAUGGAGGAGAUUUUAUCAGCAGAGACUGAAAAGAGAGGGUGGAAGGAUGCACUCUGAAUUAGCUAUUUAUGAGAAUGUCCUUUCCCUCCUAUGAUAUUUAGUGCCUCUUAACGGAGCAGUAAAUAAGAGUAACCCGAGUUGACUGAGGCGCCUAAAAAAUAGCUGUAAAUCCUUAAUACCUCCAUAAAACUAUGUGGAAGUAUUUCACAGCUUUUAUUUUACACUUUUUUCGCUUUAAACACUUUAUUUUUUAUCGUGCUUUCCUAUUUCUUCAGCCACAGAUUGUAAACUUCACUAUCUUUCAGCUCCACAGCUGUGCCAUUGAUAUCUUCGCAUGAUGCCAUAUUGUCUGUCUGGGACUAAUUAUUCAUAGCAAUAAGACAGAUAAUCCACAGGCCCAGAAAAGGCGUUGCAUGUAUCCAAAGUGAAGUGCUUUAUUUGUGGGGUUCUACUCCAGUGGUACUCAGACUGAUAUGACAGAAAACCCUCAGCUGACGGAAUACAAAGCAGAGGAAAUGAUUCAAUUUAAUUGAAUCACAGUAAACAAUUAAGGUCUGGAUCAGAGUGUGGAAAAAACAUCCUGUUCUGACUCCUAAUUCUUUAUUUGGAAAGUACAUCCGGAUAGGAAAACAAAGCUCAAAUGACUGCCUGUGGCUAGAAAUACCCUGUAGGAAUCAUGACGUCCUCUGGGUCUUAGUUUAGAAGUGGUGAUAAAGUCAUUGGCUACAGUAUAAAGGUGCAAAAUGCUGCUCAAGAUUGCUGAGAGGGGUGAUAGAAAGGUGAAAUAAACACCAAUUUCCAUCCAGGAAACCGGGCAGUGUUGGCGAAUUUUGGAUAUAACAGUAACUCUGCCGUUUGGGUCUGCCAGAGAUUCACAGCGAUUUGAAUGCAGAAAUACUCAGAAAUGCAGUUUCGCACUUCUUUUUCUCAUAUGUCCUGUAGCAUCUGUAAAAUGCCAUAUGAACAUGUAGACAACAAGAAAAACACGAUUUUCAUCAGAGUGGAUCUAUAAAGCAAAACUGCAUCACCAAAAACUCAAACUCAGAGGCUGCAAGAUGGGCGGCCAUAUGUUGCGUCGACACCAGAUGGUGCACAAGUGAGUUGCAUUUAAAGUCAGUGUUAAGACCUGAUUCCGGGCAAUGCAAAGGAUGUAAACAUGCAGAGCGAAUUAAAGGGAUAUUCUGUUGUAAAAUUAAUUUAGGGUCAAACACACCGUAACACUGAGUUAGACACCCCUCAAGAGAAAAAUGUUGCAGACUGUUUGCUUCUCUAGUUAUAACUUUAGUAACAACUGCACGAUAGCAAUACACAGCGGUCUGUGGAGCCAUAAACAAACCUCAACCAAAACGUCACUCUAUAGCCACAAAUAAUGCUCAGAACAGCACCUAACUUCAUCAGCAGUACAUAAAGGGUCCCAGCCAUAGUACUAGCCACCAAACGUCUUUUUAACUUUGCCUAAUUUCUUCAGCAAAGAUAAUAAAAACAACUCACCUACUCUCUUCCAGCAGCCGCUAGCAAGACCUCAGGCCAGUCCACUACGGACUACAGCAGGGUGACACAGCUCAAGGAAGAACAAUUAAGAUCAUUUCUUUAUUAUUUCCUUGAAGUAAUAAUCACCAUAUUAAUCAUUUUGCACUGCAGAUGCAGUAGUUCUUCUGCCUUAGUGUCUCUGUCUGAUUGGACAGAGACACUAAGGUGGAGGUGCUGUUCUGAGAAUUAUUUGUGGCUAUAGAGUGGCGUUUUGGUUGAGGUUUGUGCAUGGCUCCUCAAAUAUUGGGUAUUGCUAUUGUGCGGUCGUUACUCAAGUUGGAAUAACUAGAGAAGCGAGCGAUUGGCAACAUUUAUCUCUCAAAGGGUUGUCUAACUCUGUGUUACGGUGUCUGACCCUAAAUUAAUUUUAUGUCCGAAUACCCGACGUCAGAAUGGUGCUAAUUUUGGAUUUGCUUAUUUGAGGAGUUUUUAAAAAAAUGAUCUCUGACGAACAUACCGGACGGAAAUGCCAGGUGUCUUAAGACAAAAUGAGGGUGUCUAAGUCCUAAAAUUCCUAUAAUUGAGCAUUUUGACCCUGGGGAUCUUUGCUGCUGCUCUGCCUGCCUUGGCUUCUCACAUAUGAAACAUAAACAUAAACGCCAAAACGCCAUAAGCGCAAAAUAUAAGAGACUGCACCACUUUAUAUUUCGAGAAAUCCAUCUACUCUGUCACCCAAUCACAACAAAGCAACAUUUCAAGAUCCCUCUGCUGCCAAUUCAUCAUGUGUUCUUCCACAGUGGCUCACCUAAAAGGGUCUAUAAGGAGCUAUUACUAAAAGCAUAAGCCACACAGCUUACAUAGUCUGUUCCAGACAGCAGCCUCAGAUUGAUGGAGGAAUAAGAGACCAGGGUGUAAUGUUUUAGAAGUCUUGUUCUGGAAGUAAUGGCUGUAAUGGCUCCCAAUGCUUCAUCCACUGCCUCUUAAUUCCUCUAAAACUAAUGCUCUUCAUUUGCUGUCUGGCAGCUGUAUACACACACACACACAGACACACACACACACACACACAUGGCAUCAUCUCUGCCGCUCUGGAUUUCUCUCCAUGUUGCAUGUGUGAACUGACUUCCAAAUCUUUUGCAGUCCCAGAUCGUUUCCCUGCCACACAAUGGCACUGCCAAAUCCAACAUCCACCACAAGUCAGGACUAAGCUAUCUAUGUCUCUGAGUUUGUGUGUGUGAGUGUGUGUGUGUGUGUGUGUGUGUGUGUGUGUGUGUGUGUGUGUGUGUGUGUGUGUGUGUGUGUGUGUGUGUGUCUGGCAGUCAGUCAGACACCGCUGUAGUGGCUCUGAGAACGUGAUCGGAGUCCCAAGUCGCCCCGCACUCCCAAAAUGCUUCACUGCCUCACAAAAGCGAUGUCAGUCCACGCAAGGCUGGUCAGAGGGAGUCCUCCAGCUAACCGUCUGCAACCGGCCACAUACAGUCACACAUGCACCAGCGCUACAGCGCACUUUCUCUCCUCUCAAUUGCAGCCUCUUCACUGUCUCUUCCAGACGAAAUUGUUUUCAGAUUGGUCCAUCUCCCUCUCCUUUUCUUCCACUCUUCUCUCUCCAAGGAGUCUGCUUUUAAAUCCAUCAUUCUCUGAAGAAGUUCUUUAAAAGUCUCUCUCACCCAAAAAACUUUCUUCCCCUCUGAUGUCCAUUUUGGGAGAAAGUUCUCUUAAUUGUGCCCACUUUCAGAAGUUAAAAAAAAACUUUCAGAUGAUGUCAUUUCAGAUUUUUCUGUCUUUUAUUUUUAGCUCCCACAGACUGCAAUUUCAUGCUAAUUUGAGGCAGCCGUUUGUAUCCGUGUCCGCAGAAGGCUGUCCUAGAAAUAGAUGCUUAAUGUAUUUUCACAAAGUGGGACUUGCAAACAAAGCAGAACACUUAGCGAAAACUAAAAAACAUGCGAUUUGUCAAGUCGAGAGCGAGGGUAAGGCGGCACUGCGGGGCAUGCUUUUGCAGAUAAAUAUGCUGAUUGCAUAGUGAGAUAAAAUCCUUACAAAGCAUAUGUGAAAAAUGUCCAAGGAGGCUGCAGCACAGUUAUAAAUGAGAGUGUAAGUGUUCUAUAUGUGUGCGGCUGGUAUCCUCCUGGUGGUUUCAGUCUAGCUCUCAAGAGUCGAGUACCCAGCUUGAGUCUGGAAAGUUACAUCAUGGCCUUGCAGACAAAAACAGUGAGAUGGGGAGUGAGAAAAAAAAGGUCUUAGCUCUUUACACAGGUCCUAUUCACCACCCCAUUAAAGGGAUAUUCCGGCGUAAAAUUAAUUUAGGAUCAAACACACCGUAACACCAAGUUAGACAACCCCUCGAGAGAUGAAUGAUGCCAACCCCUUGCUUCUCUAGUUGUACCAACUUUAGAAACAACUGCACGAUAGCAAUACGAUAGCAAUAGAUUACAGAUUAUUUGGAUUUUUUAAAAUUUUUAUGAAGUUAAAAAAAUAUAUAUAUAUAUGCUCUGUAGAUAUGUACAGUAUACAAUUUGUAGAUAUACUGUAGGCUACUGCUCUUCAGGCCAACAGGAAGACUGACUGAUCAAACUCGGACCAGGAAAGUGUUUUCAACCCCCCGCGCCGAUCGUUGCCUCCGUGUCUUAACUCACUUUACUUAUUUCCGGUCCGGUCUCAUCUGGAGACAUGCAGCUGCCUCAGUAAUAAGUAGCUCGAUCACGUAAUGUGUACUGUUGUUUAUUUUACCGUUACUGGCACGGCUAACAGUGUAGCAAGGCUAAUAGCAGGUGGCUAACUACAUAGUGCUUCACCAUUAACUCAGGGUGACCGAGACCAGCACAGCACAGCGGGAACAUCGUGAAGUGGGUUGAACUGAAACUUGUUGACUUAUUGUCUACUUCACAAACUGGUUUAUUUACCGUUGAGGCGGACCACUCUCCUCUGUGCGUCCCUGAGCUGCCUGUUUCAGAUCAGUCACUCUGCUGUGCUGUGAGGUAGUUAAUGGAUGAAGACUGUCAUGAGGUCGCUGCGCCAUCUACAGGAUAAGUCGGGGAACUUUUCAAAUGGUGGAACAUUAUCGAAGUGAAACCGAAUCUUAUUCUCUGAAUUUUAUUUCUGAAAAUAUCUGUGAAAAUCUGCGAGUUUUGGCUGAUUACCUAUU